rnacentral:lncRNA from 1 species
UGUUUUUUGGUGUUGGCCACCCGGAGGGCCGCCAGCUUCUCUUCUCGCGCAUCUUUGCAGUGGACUCGGGCCAGACACAGAGCAACAUCUGCACCGCACCGAGCCGAGGACUUUUUCCACUCCUGCACUCGACCAGGGAUCGUGUUCAAGCGAGCCAUCAGCGACUCAAGGUCAUUCUGAAGUGUCUCCCCGGGCCAGAGCGUCGAGUCGAUGCGAGAUGUGGCGACCUUCAGCCUUGCAAGACAGUCCACGGCAGCUGCAACACGGGACUCCAGUCGGAAAACAUUCAUGGCAACUUCGUCGUUCACCGGAGAAUUGACGGGGUCGAGGUUUGGUUCCAGCCGGCUAGUUUCUUCUUCAAAGUUUUGACAAAAUUCUGCAAGGACGAUCACCGAGUCAAGGUGAUGGUCGAAUGGAAAAACCACGAUUGGAAAUAAUUGCCGAGCAUAGAGGUUUACCUUCAAGCAUAAGAAACAGCUUCUUGGCAAGACCACUCAGGAAGGCCUCCAGAUCAUUUUUCUUCCCAGUCAACUUACUGACUUGGUCGGUCAGGGCAGCUUUAUCAGUUUUCAGUCGACUGACCUCCUUGUUGGCGAUCCCAAGAGCAGCUUUCAGAUUGGUAUUGUCUUGUUCAAGCUUGGUGACUGAAGCUAACUUCUCGUCAGCGAGCUUGAUCUUCUCGGCUAGUUCAAGGUCUUUUUUCUAUUGGGCCUCCCUUACCUUACCUGCAAGUUACAGCAAGAUCAGAUUUUGAAACAAACGAAGGGGAAAAUCAGUCGUCAAGGUCUCACCAAACAUACCUUCGGUCUCCUCCUUUGCCUUCGUCAGUUUCUCCUGAACCAGCUUCAAAUUCAGCUCGAGCUGAACGUGCUUGUUUUCCAGCUCAGAGUAGCGAGCCACAAGAUCACAGGAGUUCUGCGAAGAACCAAUCGACUAAAUGUCAAAUAUAAUUCACUUCCGAGUGAAAAAGGAAAAAUCACACGUUUCUAAGACUACAGCCGAAUACAAGCAUUCGACCGUAGUCUCGGGGACUACACCUAGUGGGUGCACUCAGCGUGCCCCCACUAAUCCUAUCGAAGAUAGAGUCAACCAGUCGACCUCAAAAAAAAAGAGAGAGAUGUAUUCUUUAAGACUGUAAUCGACUGCAAGCAGUCGAUCACAGUCUCGGGGACUACACCCAGUGGGUGCACUCAGCGUGCCCCCACCGGUUUGCGAAAUCCAUUCGACAUAGUCGAAUGACGCAAAGACUGAAAUUAUAAAACCUAAAGCCGACUGCCAGCAGUCGACCUUAGCCUUUGAGACUACACCCAGUGGGUGCACUCAGCGUGCCCCCACUAAUCCUAUUGAAGACAGAGUCGACCAGUCGACCAAUUUGCGAAAUCCAGUCGACAUAGUCGAAUGACGCAAAGACUGAAAUUAUAAAGCCAAAGGCCGACUGCCAGCAGUCGACCUUAGCCUUGGGGACUACACCCAGCGGGUGCACUCAGCGUGCCCCCGCUAACACGGAGUCUAAGUCGACACACCCACUGGGUGACUACUAUAAAUUCAGGAAAGAAAAGUUUUUGAUAGCAUAUCUUAACAGAACAGGCGGUGGUCGACUGACCUGAACAUUGCUUUGAAGGGCGGAACUAGCAUCGUAAGCUGCCUGGCUCGCAUCCCGGAUGGUCCUUAACUGCUCCAUCAUGAUCCCUGCCUGGCGUAUCGCCUCCUUCGCGGCGCCAGCUUGGUCCUCUGGGACAUGGUGCGUCGUGAAGAGGGAGGGCUGCUGAGCACUCGUCAGUGGAUCUGCGAAGGACACAGUGUGUCGAGUGGUGUUCUCCUCCUCCGCAACCAGAGUCUCAGGCACCUUCACAUCCUGGGGCACCCUGCUGGCAGACGCUUUCCUACUCCUUCUGUGCUUCAGCGGUUCCUCAUCUUCAUCAUCAGGGAGAGUGAAAACAACAUUCGGUGGAGCUACAGAAAAGAAUCAGGAUUAGAGAUCAUGAGUCAGUCGACUAAAAACAGAGUUAAGAGUAUAGUACCUGGUUUUGAGGUUGCUGCGUCCUCCAUCUCAUGGUCAUCAGCCCGGGCUGAGGUCUCAGAAGUAGCAGCACUGCAACUCCAAAGAAUCAGUCGACUAACUCCAGCGCCAACCAGAGACAAAGUUCACACAAAAUAGGAAGUCUUAAGCAGCAUGAUUACCCUGAUAUGGUGGGGAUGGACACCUUCAUCUUCGGCAGGAGCUUGGUCGGCUCUGACGAAGCCGCCCUGGGCUGCUUCGACGCCUUUUCAGUCGGCGCCGGAGAGGUGGUCCGAGGGCGCUUGGUUGACUGAGCAACGGUCGCAACCCCCUUGCCAUGUUCAGUCGCAGGGUCGUGGACAAGCUUCGACCGCCUUUCCGAGCGCGGUGGUAUGACCUCCUCCUCCUCUUCUUCCUCGUCUUCAGCAUCAUCUUCAUCACCGUCAUCGUCGUCAUCAUCGUCAUCAUCCUCAGCAACGUCCGAGUCCCACUCCUCCUCCUGGCUCUCGCCCCCACUCGCCUCACCCUCCUCAGUCGGAGCCUGUGCUCCAUUGGGCAUCGAGUAUAGCUCGGUGAGGGCCUGAUAGACAUCAAGACAAAGAUCAAUCGACCGAUUGGCAGAAUAAACAGAAAUGAAUAUGACAAGAAAACAGUGGAGAGCAGAGCAGGCAUACCUUGUUUGGAUCACUGUGGUGGUCGAGUGGAGGAAUCCUUCUGGCUCCGCGUGGGUUAUCCUUGUUUCCGGUAACGGCAGCCAUCCACCUUUCCAGAGUGACAUCGUCGACUGCUUCUGGAUGGACCCGAGUCUCGUCCUCGGUCCCACAGUACAACCACAUGCAGUGGCUCCGGAACUGAAGGGGCUGGAUACGACGCCUAAGGAAAACCUCCAAGAGAUCCAUGCCCGUCACUCCCUCCCGAACCAACUGUACUACGCGCUCCAUCAACAUCUUCACGUCAGCUUUCUCCUCCGGAAUCAACUUCAGAGAAGAGGGCUUGUUCACUCGAUCCAUGGUAAACUGAGGGAGUCCACUCGACUGCCCCGGCGUCGACUGAUCCUGGCAGUAGAACCAGGUCGACUGCCAGCCUCUGACUGACUCGGGAAAAGUCAUGGCCGGGAAGGUGCUCUUAUUCCUCACCUGGAUCCCCAGGCCCCCACACAUUUGGACGACUCGGGUUCUUUUGUCGCCUGGGCUCGCCUUCUUCACGGUCUGAGAGCGACACGUGAAUAUGUGCUUGAACAAGCCCCAGUGCGGUCGACAGCCCAGAAAACCCUCACACAUGGACACGAACGCGGCAAGAUAGGCGAUAGAAUUUGGGGUAAAGUGGUGGAGCUGCGCUCCAAAGAAGUUCAAGAAACCACGGAAGAAAAUACUCGGCGGCAAAGAAAAUCCACGAUCGACAUGGGUAGCCAGGAGCACGCACUCACCCUCUUCUCGCUAGGGCUGCCACUCCUUCCCCGGAAGCCUCGCAGCUCCAUGGGGGAUCAGGCCCUCGUUGGCCAUGUCGAGGAGAUCUUUCUCCGUGAUGCUCGACUGGAUCCAAUCUCCUUGGACCCAGCCCUUCGGCAGGCGGGAUCUAGACGAAGACCCGUCGCGGCUGGUGGAUCUCCCCUUCGCCUUCUCCGUCGCCGACGCCUUCUUCGCACGUUCCAGCGCCGCCGUCUUCUCCUUGGCCAUGGUUGCCGGUGAGACGCGCGAGGAGAGGUUGGGCGGAGGCGAGAGCGAGCGCGUUGGGCGGAGACGAAGGGAGCAGAGAAAGAGAAUGCUGAGGCACUGUACAAAAAACCCUCGCCGGGCGCAUUUAUAAGGUCCCUUCCGAGUGGAUGACAGGUGGGCCCGGUCGAUCUAAUCAUAUCCAGGAACAGUUAUGCAGGAGGGAUACGUGGCGAAGAAAGCGGCGCGGGGAUCGAGGCAUCUAUGUCCCGUCCCAUCCGAACGCCGCAGCCCGCUCCGCUUCGUGCGCUUCCCCAAAUUUCGCAUCCCGCGGAAUCCGCGAACGGCAGACCGGUCUGUCAGACGCGGGAUUUCCUGCGAUCCGUCGCUCGGAAAUCAUCAAAGCCCGAAAGAUCACUUGACGAAAGAAGAGAAUGGAUCGAGUCGACUGAAGACAAGUUGGUCACUAUCAAUGAAGAGAUUCUUUGGUCCAGAACAACGCACGACCAGUGUGCAAAAGUUAAUCGGAAACAACAUCAACUCCUUCCUCACUCGAAGCCUCAAUCCAUUCGGGGCUAAUGAUGGGGUCAUGUACCUAGGGUAGGGUCACAGACCUGAUCUAAGUACCCUGCCCAAAGACACCCUUAGAAGAGGUCACCUUCCAGUCGACCAACGAGGGACUCACUCGACUGACUUGAAGGACUCGACCACGAAGACUCACUCGACCACCAGAAGGUCAAGAGGCACUCUGCACUGCAACGGCCUGUAAUUAAGUAGACUUUAUGAUAGUAAAGACACUUUAUGUGGGGCGUUACCAGUAACGCCCCGGACUUAAAUCACCUUAAACCCUCUCCUACGUGGGCUGGCUGGGGUCCUGGCGCACUCUAUAUAAGCCACCCCCCUCCACAGGUAGAGGGGUUCGGCACCCUGUAACUCAUAUACACAUAAUCCACUCGACCGCCUCUGGGCUCCGAGACGUAGGGCUUUUACUUCUUCCGAGAAGGGCCUAAACUCGUACAUCCCUUGUGUUUACAACCUCUCCAUAGCUAGGACCUUGCCUCUCCAUACCUAUCCCCCACUCUACUGUCAGGCUUAGAACCACGACACUCACCGGGUUCGAAGCUGACCCUACGAUGUUUCUGAUCAUAAUAACUCUUCUGUCGACUUUGAGCGGUCUUAAGUCGGUCUCUGAUUAGCUUGACCUUUUCCUCGGCUUCUCUAAGCAUGUCUGGUCCGAAGAUGCGGCUGUCUCCGGUCUCUGACCAAUUUAACGGGGUAUGACACCUUCGUCUGUAUAAGGCCUCAAAUGGUGCCAUUUGUAGGCUGGCCUGGUAGCUAUUGUUAUACGCGAACUCGGUGUAUGGCAGGCUUUCUUCCCAACUGGUUCCAUAUGUGAGGACACAUGCUCUCAGCAUGUCUUCUAAAAUUUGGUUUACGCAUUCAGUCUGUCCAUCAGUCUGUGGGUGGUAUGCGGUACUGAAGGCUAGUUGGGUUCCCAGAGCCUGUUGUAAAUGCUCCCAAAAUCUUGAGACGAACUGAGUGCCUCUGUCAGAUAUUAUAGUCUUCGGGACACCGUGCAGGCAAACUAUGCGGGAAAGAUAAAUCCUGGCAAGCCUCUGAGUGGUGUAGGUUGUCUUCACUGGAAUAAAGUGUGCCACUUUGGUUAACCUGUCAGUGAUGACCCAUAUGGCAUCAUUCCCGUGUCGUGACCGAGGUAGUCCGACAAUAAAAUCCAUCCCUAUUUCAUCCCAUUUCCACUCAGGUAUUUUGUUAGGUUGCAGUAGUCCGGCUGGUCUCUGAUGUUCUGAUUUUAUGCGUUGACAUGAGUCGCAACAUGCAAUGAAGGUGGCUAUGUCCCUCUUCAUACCGUGCCACCAAAUUCCUUCCUGAAUAUCUUUAUACAUUUUGGUUCCUCCAGGGUGAAUUGAAUAUGGUGAGGUGUGUGCUUCAGCUAAAAUUUGCUGUUUAAGGUCUUCUAUGUUUGGCACGCAUAGCCUAUCUCCGUACCAUAAUAUUCCUUCAUUGUCUAUGACGAAUUCCGAGGCCUUGCCCAUACUCAACUUUCUUUUAAUUCCUUCAAUGCUGGGGUGACCGGGCUGAGCUUCUUUAAUUUUCUCCACAAGGUUGGGUUGUAUUUCCAAGUUUGAUAUGGUGCCUUCUGCUACCAUUAUCAAGUUGAGCUUGGCAAAUUCUUGAUGGAAUUCGGGCCUCAAGCUGUGCAGAUAGUUUAUGUCGGAGCUGGGGUUCCGACUAAGGGCAUCGGCCACUACAUUUGCUUUCCCUGGAUGGUAAUGGAUACCAACAUCAUAAUCCUUUACUAACUCCAACCAACGUCGUUGCCGUAAAUUUAGUUCUGGCUGCGUGAAAAUAUAUUUAAGACUUUUGUGAUCCGUAUAUAUUUCACAUCGAUUCCCAAGUAAGAAAUGCCUCCAUUCCUUGAGUGCAUGAAUAACUGCUGCCAUUUCUAAGUCAUGAGUGGGAUAAUUUUCCUCAUGCUUGCGAAGUUUCCUUGAAGCGUAGGCGACAACCUUGCCUUCUUGCAUCAACACGCAUCCGAGACCCUUUCUGGACGCGUCACAAUAUACUUCAAAAUUCUUGUGUAUGUCGGGUACGAUCAAUACCGGUGCUGUUGUUAACUUUCGCUUUAGCUCUUGGAAACUUUUCUCGCAGGCUUCUGUCCACUCAAACUUCUUAUCUUUCUUGAGCAACUGUGUCAUAGGCUUGGCUAUGGUGGAAAAUCCUUCAAUAAAUCUGCGGUAAUAUCCUGCCAUUCCCAAGAAACUCCGUAUGUCCGUUACGCUGGCUGGUGAUUUCCAGUCAACUACGGCCUUGACUUUCUCUGGGUCCACUGCGAUACCGUCUUGAGUCAGCACGUGGCCUAGAAAACCUACUUGUCUUAGCCAAAAUUCGCACUUGCUGAACUUGGCAUACAAUUGGUGUUUUCUUAGCUCUCCUAGCACAAUCCUGAGAUGUUCUGCGUGCUCUUCUGGUGUCUUGGAGUAUACCAGAAUAUCGUCGGUGAAUACCACGACGAACUUGUCCAUAAACUUCAUAAAUACUUUGUUCAUGAGGUGAACAAAAUAUGCUGGGGCGUUAGUUAAUCCAAAUGGCAUCACUGUGAACUCGUACAGUCCAUAUCUGGAGGUGAAGGCUGUUUUGGGGAUAUCUUCCGUUCGUACCUUCAAUUGAUGGUAUCCUGACCUUAAGUCAAUUUUUGAGAAUACCUUGGCCUGAGCAAGUUGAUCAAACAAAUCGUUUAUCCUUGGCAUCGGGUAUUUGUUUUUGACUGUGACCAUGUUAAGUGCUCGAUAGUCAAUACACAAUCUCAGCGUUCCAUCCUUCUUUUUGGCAAAUAAAAUUGGUGAUCCCCAAGGUGAGGAGCUGGCUCGAAUGUAUCCUUUUUCCAGUAAUUCCUUUAUUUGCUUCUUCAACUCGAUCAACUCGGAUGGUGCCAUUCUGUAUGGUUUCUUGUAUAUGGGGGUGGUUCCUGGUGCUAGCUCAAUGCGGAAUUCUAUCUCUCGGUCUGGUGGCAUGCCUGGUAGCUCUUCAGGGAAUACAUCUGGAAAUUCACACACUACUGGAACCUUGUUUAGCUCAGAAACGUCCACCUUAUUUAAUCUCGGUUGCCGGGGUAUUUUUCCUUCCUUGGCUGAUACUCUUAUUGUCUUCCCUUGGUGGUGUGUGAGAAUUACGGUCCUGUUGAAACAGUCGAUAAAACCCUUAUUGGUGGUUAGCCAAUCCAACCCUAGGAUGACAUCCAGUCCUUUAUUUUCCAACACAAUAAGAUUUGCGUAAAACUCCAAUCCUUCGAACUCAAUGACCACAUUCUGACAGUAAUUCUGAGUAACUUGCUGAAUCCCAGGGGACUUGAUGGUCAUGGAUUUCUCCAAAGGAAGCAUCGAAAAAUUAUUUUGCAAAGCAAAACUUUUCGAAAUGAAAGAGUGAGAGGCUCCAGAAUCAAACAAAACCAUUGCAGGUAUUGUGUUGACAGGAAACGUACCGAGUACGAUAUCCGGAGCAUUUUGUGCCUCCUCUUUGGUUACGUGGUUCAGAUGACCCUUCCUGUGGUUAUUGUUGGGAUUGAAAUUGUUUCGCUUGGGCGCUGAAUUAUUGCCGCCGUUGUUCGGCUUUGGGGUUGAACUCCUUGGCUUGGGGCACUGUUUGGCAUAGUGCCCUUCUUCUCCACAAGCGUAACAAGUAACGCCGGGGCGAUAGGUGAAUUCCUUGUCCCUUGCAUGAAAAUUUUUGAUUGGGCGUGAGACAUUGGAUGAGAAUUUGUGUGUCCCACCCUUUUGAAAAUCUGUCUUGCUUCGGUGAUUGCGAGCGUGAUUAGUCUGGUCCCUUUUUCGCUUGCGGAUAUCUUCCAGACUGCGUCUCUCAUUUUCCAGAGUAAUGGCCUUGUCUACCAGUGUUUUAAAAUCAGGAAAAGUGUGCACGACUAGUUGGCAUUUAAGCGCGGGCGCCAGACCGUCAAGGAAUUUCUCCAUCUUGAUUUCAGUCAUACGCUCCUCAUUGGCGUAGCGGGAUAAUAGGGUAAAUUGACUGUUGUAAUCUGACACUGUCAUGUUCCUUUGUUUGAGGUCAUCGAAUUCUCUCUUCUUGAUUUUCAUAAUACUCUUAGGAAUAUGUGCACCACGGAAACCUUCCUUGAAAUCAUCCCAGGUUAUGUCAUUUUCGUUGGGAUGCAUGUGCAGAAAAUUCUCCCACCACGAUGCGGCUGCUCCUGUGAGAUAGUGUGGAGCAUAUAGUACUUUCUCGAGAUCUGAACACUUUGCAAUAAUUAAUUUUCUCUCCAUAUCUCGAAGCCAGUCCUCGGCUUCAAGAGGCUUGUUAGUAUGAGAAAAUGUUUGAGGACGUGUCUUCUGUAGCUCAGAUAACUUGGAAUGCUGUUGAUACUGUCCAUGGUGAUUUCCCAUGUUGAUGACUUGGUUCAUCAUCUCACGAUGUUGUUGCUGACUCUGCUCAUAAAGGCGGCACAUUUGUGAAAGUGCCGAUUCACUGCCCUGUUGGCUUGACUGUUCCUGAGUGAACUCGUUGUUGGGUUGUGCAUCAUAAAUUUCCUCUGGUGGAAUUGGCAUGGAGCGUGUCCAAGGACGAGACAUUUUUCACUCUGGGGAUGUAUUUUUGUAAAACUCAUAAGAAAAGCGGAAAGAGUCGCAAAACAAAACCAUAAAUGCAUAAAGCUGGCAGAUAGAAUUAAAUAACUCGGCUUACUUAAGAAAAACAAAUCGACUUGCGCACGGAGAAGGACUGCUCAUUACAUAUCUUACACGCGGGCGGUAAUUAUACAAUACACCACUCAGGAUAUGCGUACAUAAUCCUGACAUGUUAUUUAGGCUAGUGCACUUCUCCAGAUCCUACAUGAUGCGCAAACAGGCUACUUCUCACAACCUAUGUACAUAUCUUACAAAGCGGUGCAAUACACGGCAGCUAAGCGUACUCAGGCAGAGAUGUUGACGACCACCUUUGCCCUGCCGAGGGCGAGGCGUAGCGAGGUUGGGGACUCGACUUCCUCCUCGCUAAAGGGCUCCAUACGCGUGGUGUUGCGCAGAGUGGACGGAGCGGUUGCCAGGGGCGGAGCAACACGUACAGGAGUGGGCGCGAAGGGUGGUGCAGUGCACGCUGAAGUGGGUGCAAUGACUUGGUUGAAUUCUUCGGUAGAAGGCAGGCGACGAGUAGGCGUAAAAGAUGCUGAGGACGAGACCAAAGUCAGUGGCGGUGCGAUGGGUAGGAGCUCCCUCCUGUUGGCAGCACAGCCAUGGACUGAGUCCAUGCGGGUAGCUACGAAGUCGUCCACCAGGUUGUCGAAGGCUGCCUCCAGGGCCCGGAGAUACUCAAUGAGCAUCUCAAAAGCCUCGUCUCGUUCUCCUCUGGGGCAGGAGUAUGCGUAGUGACAGGUGUAAGGCACAUGGCACGGAAGAUAACGGUAACGACGAGUCUUCAUCACGAGAAGGACAUCCCUGAGACGAGCUAUCGCCUCGCGGGCUGCCAUCUGCAUAGCAUGCCUCUCCGUAGGCAUUGCUCUUCCCACGAACCGGAAGUGGCGUAACUCACCACGCCCUCCCUUGAACUGUACCGCGGCCUGGUGCAUGGUCAGACUGUCGUUGACUCGGUGCUGGCAGAGUGUGAAGACUGGGCGCACGGAUGGCCCCAUCGCGACCUGAACGAUGAAAGAAAGAAGCUUGACGAACCCAUCGGGCACGUUGGCGAAGGUCUGAGACUCGCAGCUGUUGUCGGCCAUCUACAAAAGUAGGUAAAAAUUCUGCAGGGUCAGAUCAUAAAUUUAUGCUGACUGACAGAAAAUGACUACAAUUGCAAAAAUAUAAAUUAGCUCUAUCAUGCUAAUAACUAAAUAGCGAUCGCACCUAGUGGCUUCCUACAGUCAGCCUGGCUCUGGUACCAAGCUUGUCACGACCGGUUUUCCAAUAAAAAUAUUUAUUGAGAAACCAAUCUAUUGAGUCCAGUAUGAGAGAAAUCCUCCUCACUGGUAGACAAUUUCUUGAUACAAUAAGCCAGUAGCAUAAAAUAUAUUACAGGGUUGAACUACGGUUGCUCAACCAAAUUAUUACAAGCACGCCAAUAAUUAUACAUAAUGGCGGACAUGACACAGUGGUGUGGAGACAUACUACUGACUCGAGGAUAGGGCGGUGGUGGAAAAACACAGCAGGGAGAGAAACACAAGACUCUAAGUCUAUCAUCUCAUCGAGCGUCGAGGUGAGGCUCGAUGAAUUUAUUUGGUAGCGGAAGCGGAUAUAAAAUAGUGACCAAAUCCAGGGUCGCACGAGACUGACUGGGACUCCUCUAAGUGUCGGACUCGCUAUCAAACUCUUCAUCCAUGAGAUCGCCUUCGUCAGCAUCUGGCCAAAUCAACAAGCCAGUGAGUACUUUGAAAGUACUCGCAAGACAGUUCGGACGUAAGAUAUAACAAAUGCAUGCAUGGAUGCGUCACGAAUAAAUUCAUCAAUGUACAUUCAAAAAUUAGCAUGACAAGGUAAGUAAAAGGGGAACGGCGGUAGUCCGCCUGAAAUCCCAACAGAACAUAAAUAACUACCGAUCGGGUGUCUGAAGCGACGCCUCGAAAGGUGAACAAUUAAUUAUAAGGAAAUGAUGCCACAGUCGGGCGUCUUAGCGACACCACAUAAAGGGCUUAAAAAGAAAUACCACAGACGGAUGUCGGGGCGACAUCACAGAAAGGGCUUUAAAAGAAAUGCCACAGUCAGACGUCGGGGCGACAUCACAGAAAGGGCUUUAAAAGAAAUGCCACAUUCGGACGUCGGGGNNNNNNNNNNNNNNNNNNNNNNNNNNNNNNNNNNNNNNNNNNNNNNNNNNNNNNNNNNNNNNNNNNNNNNNNNNNNNNNNNNNNNNNNNNNNNNNNNCGUCGGGGCGACAUCACAGAAAGGGCUUGAAAAGAAAUGCCACAGUCGGACGUCGGGGCGACAUCACAGAAGGGGCUUGAAAAGAAAUGCCACAGUCGGACGUUGGGGCGACAUCACAGAAAGGGCUUUUAUGGACAGGUAAAUAAUAAUCAUAAUAAACUUUUAAUUCAUAAGAAUAAAUGGGUUAGUCCAUCCACAGGAAUAUCAUUUAACCGGAGUUAGCAUUCGAGCAAAUCACCGGAGUCUCUGUCAUCAAAACUGACAUUUGAUUAGGAUAAGAUAAUAUCGAUCUAGGACAUGGAAUAGAUGAUUUGGAGGAAUAUAAGACUCUGCAGAGUUUGUACAAAAUUAUUCCCACAGCCAAUGGAUUUCCGUAGUCACGAAGUACUAGUUCCGUUUACGGUAUUUCGGAAGAAAACACAGCUAACCAGUACACACCCAUCCUACCUCUCGAUGCUAGGAAUCACCCUAGACAUCGUCCAAGAAAAACUUUUGAGACGGGGAGAUCACAAUCUCGAAUAGCAUGGGAUCAAAUUUAUAUACGCGCGCUCUAAGGGGUGCCCCCCUCUCGGUCCCAACCGGAAACACCCAUGCCCCCUGACCGGAUGACUGGCUUUAAUCCAGGGCCAUGGAACCAUCAUCCCGGCCUCUCCUUUUGGUGUGUACCAGGAAAGCGGUUUACAACUUACUAAACCAUAUUCCUUGCGGAAAACAUGUGGUAGUACAGGGAAGGCGGAAUGAAAGGAACUGGAAUGAUACGAGCUGACAUUGAAGUCACGUAGUCUGGCAUAAGUCUGGCAUGCUACAACACUGCCAUCUUACCCAUCCUUAUGCCAACACAUGGCCAUUCAUACUCACAUCCAUCCACUUAUGGAUCAUUGAACUCACUUACCUCAUUAUCGCAUAAAAUGACAUUCAUCGAUAUGCUUCUCAACAUGCCAUGAAACUAACUAAAUGCAAAACAUGCCAAGACACUCAUCAUAUCAAAAGUUCAAACAUGCUUGCCUGGUUCAGAGUAGUCGGAGCCUAGCUCGGUGAAGUUUGCGGCUCCGUCACCUCCUUCGGUAUCUACGGUAUAAAGAAAGUAUAUGCGCUAUCGUAAAUACCAAGAGGUGCACAAAAAGUAUACCAAAUAUUUUUCAAAUAAAUCUGAUAAAAAACUAGACAAAAUUCUAAAGAGAACAGAAAAAGAAUCAACCAAAAAUACCUUUCUGUUUAAAAGUUAUAAAGGUUUUUGUCCAGGGACUCAUCUGUAAUGAAAUAGAAGUUUUCUAGGGGCUAGUUUAUAAAAACAGAAAGCACUUCGGUAGCGACUACGCCAGCCCAGAGGGAAAGCGCAUUCGGCAGAAGACGUUUUCAGAAAACGCUUCGCUCCAACAGGAUAGAGAGGCUGACAGGCGGGUCCCACCCGUCAGGUUUAAAUAUUCAAACGGGGCGGCAGAGUUCGCCGGUGCCCGAGAGCCGCGGUGGUCGCCGGCGGUGAUCCACGGCGAGGCAGAGAGAUCGGAGGGUACCUCCGUGUUCAGGGCACCCUUCCGCGUCGGUUGGUGGUGGUGGUGGCGGUCGGCGAGCACCACGUCGACGGCGAGCUUUGCUCCGGCGGACGGCGGUUCGGGUGGUUGCGGACUUCGUUGGAGAGAGCUGUAGUGAUCAAAUUGAGGAGGGGGUUAGGCUUCUGGUAGCUAGAGGGAGUAACUGACGGGGUUUGGGCGCCGGAGAUGGCCUCACCGGAGCGAAUCGUGGUGGAGGCCGAGGUGGAUCGGGGCGGCCGGAGCUUGGGGAGGAGACCUCCUCGAGGUCCCCCUAGUGGCCUGGCGGGGCGUUGGUGAGGUGUGGGGAUGAGGCGUGCACGAGGGCGAGCUCGAGGGCCCUUUUUAUAGGCGGUCCGAGGCGGUGGCCGUGAACGGGGAUUUCCGGCGAUGGUUACGGUGGCGCAGUGCUCGGUCGAGGGUGAUUAGGGAGUCGAGCGCCGUCGUGGGAGUUUACUCGGUCCGUUUAGACGCUAACCGAACUUGGAUUAGAAGCUUAGGGCAGGCUUUGGUCGGAACGGGACGGCGCGGGUCCGUUGGCGGCAGAGAGCGCGUCCCGUGCUGUCGGGCCACGGCGACGGUGCAGCGGGGGUGCGCUGGCGUGCAUGAGGCCACGCGGAGAGCCAGGGAGCGAUGGGCAGCGCGGAACGGCGUUGAGCCGCCGUUCUUGUCCCCUGUCAGCCGCCACGGGAGGUCCCGACGCCGCAGAAGACUCCGGCGAGGGCGGGCCAGCGUGCCACCGACGCCAGGAAGAGGCCAAGUGAGUGUGUGGUGCUCCAGACAGUAGGAAGAGGCGGAGAGGAACCUGCCAAAUGCACUGUGAACGCGUGAGUGAAGCUGACGAACGAAAAAUGACACUGAAGACUGAAUUUUUCUGAAUUUUGAACAGUAACAGUGCCCGCAAGGUGUUCGACAGAAUGCUUUUGGCCUCUGCAGAUUUUUCCUUGAGCUGAAACUUGGUGGAGUGGCUUCUCAUUGCUCACAUAGGUUGCCUGAAUUUUGGUGGAAUUUUUGGAGUAGUGUAGAUAUGAAAUUCAUCAAAUUUGGCAAAUCUGGUCCAAACUUGCAGAGACUGAAUUUUGAAAAUUUUGAAAAGAGGAGGAGUGGAUCAAGAUGGUUCUGGGUUGUGGGUACAAAGGACUAUCCAGGAGAGUUGGUUUGAGGUCAAAACUCAAAUGCAAUAUGGUACUUGCUUUGAAAAUCAUUUGGGUUCAAAAUAAUUUUCAGAUUUGUUUUGAGAGGAAAAUAAUUAGAAUAAAAUCCAAAACUUGUUUGGAUUAGUUGGGACAGAGGACUUAGGUUGAUCACAAGGUGUAGGGGAGGUUUUGGAGGGGUUUUACCACAUGGGAACAAUGCAAAGUCAAGGGUGGUUCCAAGAUAUGAAAGUCCCCAAAUUUUCAUGGAGUUUCAUUUUAAAAGAAAACAAUUUAAACUCAAAAAUUAAAUUUGAGAGAGAACCAACAGAGAAGAAGUUUCAAAAGAUCAAACACCAAGGUUUGAAAAAAUAAAAUCCUUGCCAAAGCAAAGGAAGUUUUUAAGUGGAAGGUUUUUCUGAAAAGAAAAAUUUUAAAAUGGCCUCUCCUCAAAAACCACAAAGUUUUUGAUAAAAACCAAAUAAAAAAAUUUGGAGUGUCACAGGGCCUUGAUAAACGAAGGUGAAUACUACUGCUAGUGCUGCAAAUAUGAACAGGACAGGAUUGUGUGCUGCCACAUACUCAAAAUAAUGGAGAUGCACGCGGUCACGCAAUUGCCCCGGCACUUCAUACGAUGGCGAUGCACUUGGGACGUUGAUGAUGUGUUGGGGCCACAAACAUCAAAUGCAGUUUUGGCUCUACAUGAUGAUAGACCAGAGGCAACCAUGGACUCCGUGAGGCAUGCUGUAUUGACCAAGAACAAUGCUGAACUAAUAGAUGAAGCAUGCAAGAGCGAUGACACAACAAGGCUGGUAGAAAAGCACACAGCUUGAUGAGAUCAAGAAGAGGAAGGCUGAAUAAGCCUUACACAGGUUCUCUCACACUUCAAGUGUGCCUUCGUCCACAGGUCCGUCCUCUGAAAACUCAGAUGUAGGGUCUGGAACAGCAAGCACACAAACUCAGGUCAGGAACCCGCCCCGUUCCAUCACAAAAGGGCGUCCAAAAGAGGUGAGAUACAAAUCAGGGAUACCAAAGAAAGGAAUAGGAAAUUUGUAAGCAGUUGUGGAGGAUUAUAGCUUUGGUGUUGGUGAAAAUUUUGCAAUGUAGAUGAUUAAGCUUUAAAAAUGCGAGAAUGACUGUUGGUGGACAACAGAAAUUGACAAAAAUGGCAUGUAUGCAGAAUUGAAUAUGCCACGUAGUUGCUACUGUAAUAUGCCAUGCAGCUCCUACUGAAUCUGCCAUAUACUUGCUACUAAAUCUUCCAUCGCGUAUAUUUCUAUUUUUAGUCCACGCAUUCUUUUGGACAUAGUAAAAAAAUAGUUGCCACGCAUAUUGUAUUGUAUACAUACUAUGUAGGAACUAAUUGAAUUGGUUACGUUCGAAUCACGGGAGAGAACAACUGCCAUCAAAGUUGUGUUGAAAUUAACGUGCAAUAGGUGCCACAUAUGCAAACUUAUGAACUACCAUGCUAACUAAUACACUUAGCACUGCAAAAUCCCAAAAAGAAAUGAAAUGAUUACUUGCACUUAUCGUGCGUGAUCAACUAUAUUUGCCAUGUUUCAAGCAUCGCAGACGCCAAGUCGGGUAAAGUAAGGUUACCACGAGGAGAAAAUAGCAAAAAGUGUCAAACUAUAUAUUCCCCAGUAGAAAAAUAACUAGACAUACUGGGCCGUCCACAGUUUUACACAUUUUUGAAUGUAGUAAAAAGAUGACAAAUGGAAACACAAAAUUAUUUGAAAAAAAGAGUUUCAAACCAUCUGCCAAAUCCCCUCGUAAAGAAAAAAUGUAAGACAAAAAUCAAGCAUGUGAUAGGAGAAUUUCAAAACCACAUUUCAGACAAGCACACAAACUAGCAUUCAAACUGCCAAUUCAUACUCACAUUCACAAACACAUAAUAAUAGUGAACAUAGAAGUUGUUCUUGUCACACCUAAACAGGUUCAGGUCCACACUUAUAUUACAAAGCUUAGACAGCACAUACACACCACCACUAUAUACCACAGCUACAUGGAAUGAAGUCAGCACACGGACAUAGUUUCGAAGAACGAGGUGAUACCUUACAUUCCUCAGCCAAAAAAUUUAAGGUAGGCAUGUGUAUGGAGCAUCACGUGAUCACUUGUACUUCUUGUUCGUGGCUUUAACAGCUCCCUCUAUGAAUUAUCGAGCUGAAGCCCGCUUGUUGGAAUCUUCAUUCAUCAACCAGUUCCAUGUAUAUAUUUUACGGAGCUCGACGACCAUUGCAGGUGUGAUCACAGGGACCCCCGUCGACCUUCCCACUUUUCAAGGUAUUCCAACAUGUAAAACCCGCAGUCAUGCCUAGAAUGAAACAAACAGGUGAACACAUGCCAACUGAAACAUGAUAAAACUUUGAUGAAGAAAUGAAAAGGGUAAAAAUUGAGGUAGAAAACACAUGAAAAGAUAGUAAUUACCUAUUUUCUUGCUUCUCAGUCGUAAUGUACUCGAUUGGAAAAUGACUAAUCUGGACCUUUGAGUUUUUUUAAUGACGGUUCCAGGUCUCUUUGGGGUUGUUGAUAAAGAAUUCAGCAUGAGCAGUAAGUUCUUCGUCAUCUCCUGAACGGACUGAAUCAAGCACCUCAAAACGUUGGUUCUUCAAGUCAAGGCAAAUGGCAUAGUGGUGACCACACUUGUCAUUUGGGUCAUCUGGUGCAAGCAGCUGGAACAUGGGGAACAUGAUCUGCAAAUAAAAAAGAGAAAAGAAAAAAAGAGUUGACAUCAAAAUAGAUUGAUGUAGUUGCAAAAAUGUUAUGUAGUAAUAUUGCCAUUUGCAAUAAUGGACACAUGUAAGCAAGAAUCAAAAUGGCAAAGUGGACACAUGGAAAAAGGGUUCAGUUGCCAUGUGUAAUUGUCAAGAGUUGCCAUCCAUGUUUAAACAAAGUUGCCCAAUAUUUGAAGUGAAGUUGCCACAUGAGUUCCAUUAAAGUUGUCACUUCCUUACCAUGGCAGUUGUUGCCACAUGAAACAGCUGCCACGAAAAGAAUGUAGCCCGCAUAUCGAAAAUAACUAUGGACAAACAUAGCAUGACAAAAAAUAAAACAUCUACAAUGAGAAGAAACACUCACAUAUUGUUUCAGUGGGAGCUUGAAAUCACCAUGCCCGGCAAAAAAAUUCCUCAGGAUCUGAUGGUGGAAGUCACCAUCCCAUAUUUUGCAGGUCACGAUGUACUGCAUGAUCAUCUUGUCGGGACAAAUGUCCACAUGCAUGUUGAUGAAGUCAAUCCCACACGCAACUACAUUCUUUGACAAUUUACCAGUAGGCUUCACAGACUCGACAAGAUCACCCAGGUCAACGUAUGUCGCAUCACAUUGAAUGAUUUUGGUUCUGUCCAAACAUGAGCUGUAUGAAAAUGAUGUAACAUGAAAGAAGCAUGCCUACUAAAAAAAUAUAAAUAAAAAUAAACAACGCAUGGCUAAAAGGGCGAAAAAAAUCAGGAAAAAGUAGGUAAGGGGUUAUGUGGUGUGGACAUUACUUUUUCAGCUCCUUCAUGUGUUUGCAGCUCGACCUCGCAUUUCUGAAACGCUUGACAAUGUCGUAUAGUUGGGUAUGCUCCUUUGUAGCUUUAACAUAGGGCUCAAAGUCAUCAGAUGGUGGUGCAUGAACUACCCUCGUCUGCCUCACAGAGCCAGGGGUUGCACUUCUAACGGUAUCCUCGGAUACUUGCUCAGCAGGCACGUCAGAACUUGAUUGCCCCUAAUUCCAUGAUGACCUCCUGUUUAAUGCUCCUGCUCAGUCCUACAGUAAGCUUCAUCGAGGGACGGUGAAAUCUCCUCAGGGGUGGCUAAAAGAAGCAAACAGGGGAAUAAGAAAGUUGGAGAUAGCAAUUUAUUGUGCAAAAAGUUCAAACUGUGGACUGUAAAUGCUGAUAGGAAAGUAACAAUUUGAAAUAUCACUUCGUAAACGAAGUUUGCCAUGUGAAAAGUGCACUACAUUUGCCAUGUGCAAUGCACUAUAGUUACCAUGUGACAAAAACUAUAGUUGUCAUAUGUGAUGCACUUCAGUUGCCAUGUGCAAUGCAUUCCAGUUGCUAUGUGACAGCAACUGCAUUUGCCAUGUGAAACAAACUACAGUCUCCAUGUGGUCAAAAAGUGGUUUAUCCCUGCCAAAUAUAAACAAUGGUUGUCAUCUCAGGAUAAAAAUCAGUUGCCAUGUUAUAUGAACAACAACUACCAAAUUAGGUAAGCUGCAAAUGCCAUCUACAUGUACAUCCCGUAAGAUUUGCCAUCGCAAUUCAAAAACUAAAGCUUACGACGAAGGUCAGACAAAAUAUGUAGAAAUGAAAGAUAAACACAAAAAAGUUUACCUUGCACUAUAGGCUCUGCAAACUUCACAGCCUUCCUGCCAUCAGCUAGGGGUUGCGCCAUCAUCGGGACCAUGCCUGCCGAGAAAGUAAAGGCAAUAGGCAUAGGAUCAUGCACUAGUUCAUCCUGAGUGUAAUCGAUACCAACUCUGCAGUUUGGUGGGGUGAAAACCAUGGGGUGCCUCUCCUGCUGAUCAGCCAGUUUGCAAACAAAAUGUUUAGCAGAAUCUAGAGGUGAUAGAUCAACAAACAUGUCAGUCUCCUCUGCUGCAGAAUCAUCACGCUUAUUAGUAGGACGGCGCGUGCUGUCCGCGAUCUCAAUCACGGUCUUAUUUCCUAUCUUCUUGUUUGGACUGUACGGGACACCAAUGUUGACAGGGAGCUUAGAAGUGCGCAGAUUUAAACUAGUGUUCUCCACAGCAGUAAAGGACGCCGUCUGCUCUGAACGUCCACCUCCUUCAGUGGUACACUGCUUACCACCUAUAUCUGUUGUAUUGCAGACUUCCAUCUUCUCGAUUGCAUUGCUUUUGGCAGCAUGUGGGAAUAGUGUGGAAGCAGACACAUAACCAAAGUCACCUCUGCUGCUCUUAACUACCUCUGGUGCGUUGGAUAACUGUGCAGGAUUCUUGCGGUGGCUAUGCCUAGGAGGCAGGCCAGCUCGCACCACGGUUGUAGUAGCAGCCUGUGCGCCAACAGCCCGCUGAAGCUGUUGUGCGGUGAGACUCGUGUGUGGAUGUCCUGCCAUAUUGAAAUAUGGCCGCCGCCCCUUCUUUCAUGGACACAUAAGUGCCACCGGCCGCACUCUUGGAAUCCGUAUCAGAUGAGCGGGAAUCUUCCUUGUUUAGGUUGAGCUCACAAGCAUCCACUUCAACACUUGCUGAUCGGGUUGCAUGGGUCACAACAGCAUCUCUCAUUGCCACCAGGGUAGGAAAUAUCUUAGCAGUCCUGGCAGAUACUGACUCGUCGCUCCCAGAUGUACGGAUGCAUGUGGUUGUAGUCUGCACAUCUGCAACCGGCGGAGAUGGGAGGCCGCUUGCAUCAAAACUAGCGGCAACAGUGGACAGUGCGACGGCAGAUUUCUCAAUUGUCAGCUCAUGAAUAUCUGCAUUAUCAGAUGUCGACAACUUGGAGUGAAUGCUCUCAAGUGGGUCUUUAGUAGUGCAAUUUGUCGAGCGUGCAGUAGUCUUCUUUACCCUACAAAAAUGUGUCGAACGAUAAGACAACCAUUAAAGAAAGCACUUCAUGAGAAAAAAUGUGAGGGCAUGAAUAAAAUAAUUGCCAUGUCAGACAUCAUAAAAUGCCAUGUGUGAUAUGCUAGAGUUGCCAUUUCAAAAUAGAGUAGGGAUUAAAAAUAUGUUGUAUAAGUGGGUGCCAGUUGCCAUGUGUAAGUGAGUGAAAGCUACCAGUUGCCAUGGCAGGGAAACUGGAGUUACCAUUUGGUUUAGUAAGCAGUUGGCAGGGAAACAAGAGUUGCCGUAUAAGUGAGUGAAAGCUACCAGUUGCCAUGGGAGGGAAACGAGAGUUUCCAUGUGGUCUAGUAAGCAGUUUCCAUGCCGAGGAAGCAAGGGUUGUCGUGUAUCAAGUUUAUCAGUUGCCAUGUGGGACACAUAAGAGUUGCCAUGUCGCAACUGUAGCAGUUGCCACGAGGGGCAGACAAUUUUUUCCAUGUUGGGUAUAGUAAAAGUUGCAUAUGAUUGAGGAAUGCAUCAAACAAAUUUAGUGUUAGGACUGUGAAUAACUUGUCAUACUCAACAUGCUGCAAUUGCCAUGAAAAAUUUCAAAAGGGAAUGCAUUUCCGUAUCACGACACAACGAAAAUAUCUCAAUCACAAAAAAAUAGAAAAACUAAAGGGAGAACUCACCUCUUGCUUGUUUUCCUCAAGUCUUCCAGCACAACAGGAUCCCCGGUUUUGGACGUCGAUGUGCGAGGAGACGACCUAGUGGAAGUGGUGGCACCAGCAGUGGGUGCCCCCUUGUUCAGACGGGUAGAAACGCGGGUUGGCGUGCGUGCUUUCUUCUACUUAACUAAUUGUCCACCAGUUGUCGCCUCACUACACAUAAAAAAAUGGGGGAAAGGAGCAAAAAAAACCAAGUGUGAGACACAAAAUCAUGGCGUGCGUAGCAAAGGAAAAAAGUCGGGUUGUUAAAAAGGAAGAACGAAAAAAACAAUAAAGAACAUCCACUACUAGGGAAAACCUUAUACACAGCAUCUUAGCAGUAGCACUGGACAAAAUCAUCUGCUACUGCUACUUAGUAGUAGCGCAUGUAAAUAAACCGCACUACUGUUAUCAUUUUAGCAGUAGCGCGUACUAGCAAAAGCGCUGCUGCUAUGUUUGAACUGGGCGCACAUGGCUACCCCCACUUAGCAGUAGCGCGUAUCCUCGCCCAGUGCUACUGUUAUGCUCCUUAGUUGUAGCGCUUUUCUCGAACCCGCGCUACUACUAACCAUACCUUAUCCUCCCCACGCGGCCGACCCUAUCAUUCCCUCUCCCUCUCAGUCACUCUCGCCCACGCAGAUACCCAUCGUCCGUCAUUGCCGUCGUCGUCCGUCCACCACCGAGGUACUCCCUCAUUCCCUCCCUCCUCCUCCCACUACGCCCUCCUCCUUCCUCCUCCCACCGCGCCCUCCUCCCUCCACCUCCGGUCGCCCCUCCUCCCUCCUCCUCCGGCCGCCCCCUCCUCCCACCUCCUCCGGCCGCNNNNNNNNNNNNNNNNNNNNNNNNNNNNNNNNNNNNNNNNNNNNNNNNNNNNNNNNNNNNNNNNNNNNNNNNNNNNNNNNNNNNNNNNNNNNNNNNNNNNNNNNNNNNNNNNNNNNNNNNNNNNNNNNNNNNNNNNNNNNNNNNNNNNNNNNNNNNNNNNNNNNNNNNNNNNNNNNNNNNNNNNNNNNNNNNNNNNNNNNNNNNNNNNNNNNNNNNNNNNNNNNNNNNNNNNNNNNNNNNNNNNNNNNNNNNNNNNNNNNNNNNNNNNNNNNNNNNNNNNNNNNNNNNNNNNNNNNAGAAAUUUAGGGUAGAACUAGGGUAGUAGAAUUUUUAGCAAGUGUUUAACAGAAAUAGUUUAUUUAGUAAGUGAUUAAUAUAACUAGUUUAUUUAUAUUAAGUGCUUAAUAAAACUAGUUUAUUUAGUAAGUGCUUAAUAGAACUAGUUAAUUUAUAGUAAGUGCUUAAUAGAACUAGUUUAUUUAGUAAGUACUUAAUAAAACUAGUUUAUUUAGUAAGUGCUUAAUAAAACUAGUUUAGAGAGAGACCUAUAUUGGCAAAUUUAGUUAUGUUAGGAUUAUAUAUAAGAUAUUUUGAAAUGUUUUUGUUCAUAUUUUCAACCAUUGAAAUGCAAUGACCAUCGAUAAGUGGCCUAUGUUUUGCCGGAGUGUUGAUUAAUUUCCGUUCCGGCAAAUUACAGGCACUCGAUAUGUCCUUUUUUAGCAAAGGUCAUGCCGGAUUUUUUGGGUUUUGCCGUCGAAUUAUAAUCUUUGAAUUUUGAACAUAGGAGAUGUCUGAUGACGAUGGGAUCCUGGAGUGCGGGUACUGCUACGAUGACCGGGGUUUGUGCGACAGGUUUCCUCACCUGCAAAAUGAUAGGUUUUUCACCGUGAAGCUGGAAGAGACCUUUGAUGUUUGUACGGUAUGCAACGACAAGCAUUUCAUCGUAAUUAAUACCAUCACUUGUGCUUCUUUUGUUCAACGUGUAAUUUAUGGAUUUUUUUUUCAAUUCAAUUAGUACAUCUCAUGCCAUGAUAGACCAUAUGUAUUGGAGAAGCUUGGUUUUGGUUUAGAUGACUUUGAGAAUGUGGAGACGAGGAGGGCUCACUUAAGAACUAAACAUGGUUAUGAGUUUCUGGUUAAGCUGUACAAUGCGGUCGAUCGCUCCCAUUUCGGUUGCUCUAAUUGGGAAGCUAUCUGCAAAGCAUAUGGAUUUGAGGAGGGAAUACAAAUAAGAUUUGAUAUUCGUCCUGAAGAUUAUGAUGAUGAUGAUAAUAUCGACAUCUGGGUGGAUGUGGAUAUGCCUCCAGUUUUGCCUAGAUGUUAGUUUGUCAAAGUUAAGUUCAGUAAUUUAUGUUGUUAAUUUAAAAAUAUUUGGUGUUCGUCGGUACUAAACUUAUUUAUUUAUAGUUUUCAGCUUAUUUCUUAUCUUCAAGAAAUACUUGGAAGGUAGUUGACAUCACAUACUACAGCUAUGACUCCAAGCUUAAUUGUGUGGAGAAGGGUUAUCUUGUCUCAUUCAUAGAAGAUGUUGAGGCCUUCAAAACCAGUCACUCUGUCAGCCCAAAUUAUACUAGAUACAUGCCACUAGUCCAUAAAGUGCUUGAUGGUAACUUCAUUGCCAAAAACUUGGUAAGAUUUUGUUAAUGAUGGUAACUUCAUUGCAUACAUUAUUCUUAUGUAAACUACAUUGCUAACUAUAUAUGUUACUAUUACGUUUUCGAACAGAGGCUCCCGAAGUAGGUUGUGCCGGACAUGCUAUUUAUCGAAGGUGAUAUGCAUAUGGUUAGCUUACGACCAACUCCUUCGAAGGCUUACCAUACUGCAUACUCGAUUUCUUCAAAUGAUAGAAGUCUCAAAAUCAAAGAAUGGAGCAAAAUGAUGAAUGCGCACACGCAAAUAAUUGGAGACAAAAUGAAUGUGCGCAAGCCACAAGUUGGAGAUAGGUUUAUGUCCAUUCUCCAUUAUGGAGAAGGACCGGUUUAUUUGUUUUAUGGUAUUUUACCUAGGAGAGAGGAGUAGGUCCUAAGUAUUAAGAAUAAUUAGUUAGUGUUGAUUAUAUAUGACUAUGAUGAUGAUGAGAAGCUUUUAUUAUGUGCUACAAUGUCUUAGACUUGAUGGUGAUGUUGAGUAGGAGUAGUGAUUAUGAGUACUAUGAUGAUGAGGAGGAGGAGUUUUUAUUAUAACUAGUGACCAAGUUGUUAUAUGAUGUCUCAUGGACGAAAAUGAUGAGGAGGAGGAGGAGUUAUAUGACAAUGAUAUAUUAUGAUGAUAAGUUGUUAAUGAUAUUAUGAUGAUGAUGAUGAUGAUGAUGAUGAUAAGUUAUUAUGUCAUUGGGUGAAAGAACCGCGGAUUAGUUUCAAAUGGAUGGAUCCAAAGUGACCAUUGGCUACUUUGGAUCCAUGCACUUGAAACUAAUCCACGGUUCUUUCACCUAGUGAUUUAAUAACUCAUUAUAAUGUAAAAGCAAUCUCUAAAUUGCUACUGUAUGAAAAAUUGUAUAAAGGUGUAUGAAUACAACCUAAAAUUUAAAAGAAACAAAAUACGGAAUAAUGGUAGUAGCGCGGGCGGAGAGAAGCGCUACUAGUAAUUACCAGUAGCGGUUACUCGAGAAAGCGCUACUACUUUGUAGAUAUAGCAGUAGCGCGUGCCAGCAAGCGCUACUGCUAAGCUUUAGCUGUAGCACCGUAUCAGUAGCGCGCUUGCCCGUGCUACUGAUAGGCCAAAAACCAGCGCUACUACUAGGCUUUUCCCUAGUAGUGAUCGAACCUCCUCCUAGCAGCAACAUGAUCGGUCCUACUCCUCUUGCCAGCAGGUCCCUGGGCAGUAUCCUCUAGAGCCCUACCCCUCUUUGAGAGAGGAACCCCCGUGUCUCUCGCAACAGUUGGAGCAAUGCCUCCCUCUAGUGGAGGAACAUUCGGUGCAGCCUUAUCGUUGUUACCUCCUACGCGAACUUCCUGAUGUUUGUCAUGGUCAGUGUCAUUACGCACAUUCUCCAUGUCAUCGUCACCAUCCUUGUCAAGAUUAGCAUCCACGCCACCGAAACCAUCCCCGCCUAGCUCCUCUUGCGUUUUAGGGAGCUCUUGAGAGUUGUUGUAGUCGUACCGACCACGACAGCUAGUUGGUCGAUGUGUCCAUUCUCCGACAAAGUAUGUGAACUAUCUCGCAACCACGUCUCUAUCAGAACCAUUCAAUGUUGUCCAACCCUCGACCAACAUCCCAAGCAAGUUGGUCAUGCCAGAAGCAACCUGCCCGACCAGGUAAUGAACAGGUGCCCUGGCUGAUGAGAAAACAAAAUGUAGCAAGUUACAAACACAUUAGAAACAUGUGCAUAAGAAAAGAAGGCAAAAAGCUAUAAACAGAAGUCAAAUGCAAGAAUAUCAUUCAAAAAACAAAAAAAAACAUGCUUCAUUACCUCGGCGGAACAAGAUGGAGCUGAAUGCACGUCCAUCCACUUGCCGAAAUUUUGUGGCCCGCCAAACACACUGUAGUCUAUGGCAUGCUUGGCAAUCCGCUGAAAAAGAGGUAAAAAAGAAGCAGUGAAUAUGGGCGUGGAUUGAAAGGAAAAGGUAUUCGAGGGGCAACGGCAAAGUUGCCAUAUGGAGACAACCAUGGUUGCCAUGUGCAGACAACCAUGGUUGCCAAGUUCUUUAUGAAUUGUUAGCCAUAAUAAAAAUGGUGAGGUGGUCGAAUGGAAUGUGCAGACAAAGUUGAGUGCACAAAUUAGAAUAUGGAUGCCAAAUAAAGUAUUGUGCAUUUUCCACGCAGAACCGAACGUAUUUGCCAUGUUGUAUAUGCUAUAUAUUCCCCUCUUCAAAAAGAAAAACUAUGAACAACCAAUAUGGAUCAGUUGUGGUUUAUUCAUAUUAUUUCCAUCAGUGUUUUUCAAGAGUGUUGUGCAAGAAAGAAGUCAAACUAACCUAUAGUUUCCCAUAUUUUGUAUCACAAAUCUUGUCUGCGGCAAGCACAGCCUUGACAGCAUCAUAACUCCAGGCAGAAACAACAAACUUAUGUGGAGGCAGCGGACCUCCUAUCUCAGUGAAGUCAACAGUGGAUAAAUCAAGAUUAUCGACGUACAUGAGUUGGUUUACACAAUAAAGCGAGUAAGAAAAUCAGAAUAUGUCAGUGAUCGGUAUUGUGCAAAAAAAGAAAACAGAUAAAGAUGCGGCGAAAAAGGAAAGGAAAAUAACUACAUUUUAAACGUCGUUGGCAAUACAGUCUCCCUUGAGUCACAAGUUCAAAAGAAAGAAGAAAGAUUUGCCAUGGGCGUGAACGUAUGUUUUCCAUGAUUGACUAAUUAAAACAAAUGAAAAAAAGUAGAGGAAGUGAACACUAUGUGUGUUGUAGAAAAGGGCAAUUGCCAUGUAGACAGCAACUGCAGUUGCCAUGUAUCAGCAACUUCACUUUGACAUGUGAAAAACACAAAAAAUGAAAUUUGCCGUACACGAUCAACUAUGGUUGUCAUCGAGAAAGCAAAAAUCAGUUAAAGCUCUAUCAAACUAGGGUUGACAGAGUAUGGCCAAACAGAGAUGCCACGUGCAAAACAAUUAGGUUGCCACUUAUGAACAACUGUAAAAGUGAUUGAGGAAAGAAUGAACCAUGGUAAGAGCAUACCAUUAGUUGCAGGCGGCAGCCCUUCUGGUACAUCUUAUUUGAGAAUGCAUCAUGCAGGAAGUCGGCAAUGAAUUUACACCAAUUCAUGUUUUUAACAUCUUUCAGUUUCGCCUGCACAAAAGAAUUCAGGACAAAAGAUGCCACAUCGAUGGUCAAUAAAAACAUCAAACUGGCAGUGACUAGCUUCUACAUGACAUCAAAAACAGAAGAUUAUAGGAAAAAGAAUGUAGAGAGAGCAUUCACUAGGAUAGGGAAGCACUUGUUGCUUGGGCGCAGCGAUGUGGUAGGCUCAAAGAAUACGAGAUCAAGUACAUCAGCAACUUCAUCUUAAAUACCUUAUCAUGGGUUGUCAUGCCCUCCAACGAAGUUGCCAGCACAGUCGUAUUAGGCAUGGAUGCAGAGCGGCCCUGUGGGGGGCAGGAGGAGGCCGCCCCGGGCUCCCAAAAUCAAGGGGGGCCCAAGAUGUAUGUACGUACCCUAUAGGCCUAUGGCCCAUACAGGCACGCGCGCGCCAGGGAGCAGCAGGCCAGCAGCCCGAUCUCCCCGAUCCCAGCAAUCGAGUGUUUUGAGCGAUCGCUUCCAAAUGCAUUGUCAACAGGAUGAGGGAUUUUCUCCAUGAAAUAAUAGGUGAGGAGCAAAGUUCAUUUGUGCCCGGGCGUCUCAUCACGGAUAAUGUUCUUAUUGCACACGAAAGUGUUCACGCAAUGAAGAAGAGGAAGAAGGGAAAGAAUUGGGUUUGUGCAGUCAAAUUAGACAUGAUGAAAGCAUAUGACCGUGUUGAAUGGCAUUAUCUCGAAGCUAUCAUGACUAAAUUGGGAUUCAGCUCAAUAUUUAUCCGACUGAUUAUGAAAUGUGUUUCGUCGGUUCGGUUUGCAGUACGUGUGAAUGGUGAGUUACUGCCUUUUUUUACCCCAUCUAGAGGUUUUAGGCAAGGAGAUCCCGUUUCACCGUAUCUUUUUCAUCUGUGCGCGGAGGGCUUCACAACUCUGUUGAACAACUUUGAUGGAGUCCAUGCGGACAAAGGAAUCUGAGUAUGCACCCAGUCACCAUGGAUUAAUCAUCUACUGUUUGCGGACGACAGCCUUAUCUUUAUGCAAGCAAAACUGGAGAGUGUGACGAGGUUGAAUAACAUCUUGAGGAUAUAUGGCGAUUGUUCGGGCCAAUGCGUGAACAGAGACAAGAGCUCUAUUUUUUCAGUCCAAACACAACACAUCCGGUGAGAGUUAUGCUGAAAGGUGCCACGGGCAUUGGGGUAGAGGCAUUCAAUGAAAGAUAUCUGGGUCUUCCCACUACAGUUGGACGAAUUACAUCUGGUACCUUUGACUUCAUUGGUGAGAGAGUGAGGUCACAACUGAAUGGUGGUACAGAACAUUUGGUGUCUUGUGCAGCGAGGGAGAUAUUAAUCAAGUCAAAGGCUCAGGCAGUCCCGGCAUACACUAUGGGUUGCUUCAAGCUCACAAAAAAAGUGUAUAAGAACAUCUCCUCACCGAUGGCAAAGUUCUGGUGGAGUAGCUUGAUUGACCGAAAUUCCAUGCACUGGAUAGAUUGGAAGUCUUCGUCGCUUCCAAAAAUAAGAGGAGGAAUGGGGUUUCGAGAUUUGGAAUGCUUCAAUGUUGCGUUGUUGGGAAAACAGGGAUGGCGGCUGAUUACAAACCCGCAUGGUCUAUGUUCCAGAGUGCUAAAAGGAAGAUAUUUCCCGACGACUGAUUUUAUGCAUGCUAUUGUUCCGCGCAACGCUUCGGCUACCUGGCGGGCGAUAGUGGCUGGGAGAGGAGCAUUGGAGGCUGGGCUGUUGAGGAGGAUCGGGGACGGUUCCUCCGUAAGAAUCUGGGAAGAUAGAUGGCUGCCAGGGAGAUUAUCACUUCGACCAAUGGAGCAGAUUGGUUCUGCUACACUCUACACAGUGGCAGAUUUGAUUGACAAUGAGAGCUGGUCCUGGAAAGCUGAUCUAGUCAGGAAUAACUUCAUACCCCCAGAAGCUGAUGCAAUUCUCAAUAUUCCUCUCAGACAUGGUGGUGGUGAUGAUUUCUGGGCUUGGGAUCAUGAGAGGUCGGGUUCCUACACUGUAAAAUCCGCGUAUCGUGCUCUAAUGACUCAUAACGAGCAGUUAGCUCUAGAGGAAGGGACGAUUACAGGAUCUUCAGAGAACAAUAAGCAGGUGUGGACGCGACUAUGGAAACUAAAAGUGCUGCCCAAGGUCCGUGUGUUCUGGUGGCGAGUCCUUCGGGGCAUACUACCGGUGGAGACAACACUACAACACAGGCAUAUAGCAACCUUAGCGCGAUGCAAGGUCUGCAAAGGUAUGGAUGAAGAUAUGCUUCAUGCAUUGAUGAAGUGCUCUCAUGCGCAAAGCUUUUGGGCAGAAGCGAGAAGUUGGCUGCACCUCAAGUUGCCGGAGCUACACCCUUGUACGUGGUGCAAGGAUAUCCUCUGUGAUCCACGUUUUACUGAGGCAGACAGGGCUAAAAUAGUUACUGUCAUGUGGGCGAUCUAGACAUCACGAAACAGCAUAACACAUGAUAGAGUGAGUAUGGACCCGGUCCAAUCCAUGAAGCGUAUAAGAGAAACACUGUCUCUAUUGGAACUCCCAUUGGAGCAGACCAAGACACUGCCUGGGUAUGGAUGGAGACCGCCUGAAGUUGACUGGGUAAAAAUCAAUACGGAUGCUAGUAUUUCAGUGAUUGAGCACAAGAGUGGAAUAGGAGGUUUAGCUAGAUCUCCUUCUUCAUUUGUUGCUGCCUGGAGUAAGCCUUACCCCGAUGUUACAGAUCCUCUUAUUGCAGAAGCGUUGGCGUUACGAGAUGGGGUAAUAUUUGCAAAGCUCCGGGGGUUCUCGCGAGUGGCUAUGGAAACAGAUUGCUUGGAGAUGGUCAAGCUUGGCACUCGCGACGCUUUUCGUGCUCUAUUGUAGCGCCGUUACUUUUAGAAAUUGAUGAGCUAGCCUUAUCCUUUCUUUCCUUUGAUAUUCAACAUGUAAUAAGAAAUGCCAACCUGCCGGCCCACUUGUGUGCGAAACAUGCAAGCACACUUGGGGUAACCGACUGUUGGAUGGACUACCCGCCCGGCUUCCUCAUGACCAGCAUGAUGGCUGAUCGUGUUGGUGCCAUUGUUGUUGAAUAAAGCUCAUAGUUUCCCGCAAAAAAAAGGUAUUUCCUUUCACGUAAGAAGAAAGCGAUCAAUAAGCGGCUUGGACUAUUCCCUUCCUGUUCUGUUCGACUCUUUCAUCAUGCGGAGUCACGCAACGCCCAGGUCCCAGCCGUAGCUGCUGUCCGUCAACGCCGCCGUACACGCACGCUGCACGCACGCACUCCCACCUCGCCGCCGCGUGGUAAUUUCCUUUGUAAUCUGUAUAUGUUCGCCAUUGAUUUCAAUUCCGGGGCCCCUUUGGCAUUUUCUCAAUUGUUCUCUUCUCAAUCCUUUGCAAACUCUAGGCGCUGUGCAAUCCCCUGUGUAUUGUAUUGUAUACACGCACGCACUAAAGUUUGACCAUCACUCCAUCACGUAUUGAGGUAUAUUCAUAUAAUACUGAUACAAGAAAAUUCCUUUGAUGCAUAGCUGGCAAUGUUCAACAAUUGAUAGAACAAUUUUUUUUAUUUUCAGCAUUGUGUAUGUGUUAUUAUGAAGUCCUCCUGUAAGAGGAAUUAUCCAUCAGGUAGCAGCAAAAGGAAAAAAGAAGAAGGAAGUGGAGAAAUUGACACACACACAACGCUGGUGUUUAAAGAUAUAUUCGGAUUUUUAUUGAGCUCGGGCACUCUGAAGUCAUUAAGUGCCCAUGAACUUCGAAGAAUGUUGCACAACAUUUGCAGAAACUUUCUCUCUUAAUGAUUCAUCUCAUGUUGAGGUAUACGAUCUUAUUUCUAAAUUGCAGAUUAUGAAAUUAACUUUGCCAGAUGGCGUAAUGUCUGCUAUGGAGAUUUUCGGGCAUGUGAGGGAAGUCAACUGCUAUCAUAAUAUCUCUAUUGCCUAUCACAUCUUAUUUAUUGUGCAUGUGACGGUCGCAUCGGCGGAAAGAAGCUUUUCGAAGUUGAAAUUGUUAAAGAAUUAUUUGAGGUCAACAAUGACUCAAGAGAGGUUAAAUGGUCUAGCUACACUAUGCGUCGAGAAGAAAUUAUUGGAUGAGAGUGACAUCGACCCCAUCAUAAGCGACUUUGCAUCGAGGAAUGUUAGAAGAAAUUUUUAAGGUAAUAUGUAUAAAUUAUUUGAUAUGCGUACUGAUUUUAGAGUGAAGUGUUACUGAUAGUAAUUUAUAUAUAAACUAUUUUUUAGAUAAAUUUUUAUAUAUAUUUAUAUUAUAAUGACUUGUAUAUUAAGGGCCCCCAAUUUUUAGUUCGCCCCGGGCCCCUGAAAUCUCAGGACCGGCCCUGCAUGGAUGCCAUUCUAGGAAACAAACGGGCGAACAAAACUUCCUCAAUCUUAUUGUUCACCUCAUACGAGACUUUGAUUUCUCCACGGGGGACACCCAAAGUGCAUAACACAAAUUCCUCGUCCAAAGGGAGUCUUCCACGUCCCGGAAUGAUGAAUUCCCUAGACGCAUGAUCGUAUAUCUCACCGAGCCAGUCGCAUACAGGGUUCACUAGAUUCGUGCAUCGAACAUCCAUCAAUGCAUGCAUCCCCAUCUCAAUGGCAUCUCUCUUCUAGUCAUCGGUAAAACCCUUGGUCAAUAUAUUCAAGCGUUCUUGCGAAGCCCUAUUGCGCUGACGUUUCUUCUUCUGCAGAACACAAAAGGGUCAUUGUUUGCCAUGUUCAAUGUAAUAGAAAUUAGUUCUGACGAAUGAAUGUAAACUCGGUAUCACAAUAAAAACAGAGGGGGGAAAGUGACCUCGUCGCCGUCUUUUGUAUGACCGGUCGCACGAUUCCGUGGCGGUACCUGCAUGAAGUCAUCGUCAUCAUCUUGCUGGUCACCACGAGCCAUUGAGCUACGAUAAGAACAAAAAACAUGUUAGAAUAAAUGAAAACACAAACGACAGAUGCAGAAAGAGAUGCAGAAGUAACGAGGCAGUUGAUAUCAUCGACAACAAAAUGAAAACUGCCAUGUUUACCACUAAAAAGAAAUGUAUACAAUGUGUCAUAAUAGGGAGUUGCCACCUGCAAUCUGAAAAAUGCAUGGCAUAUGCUCAUAUGCAAAACUAAGCAGCUGACAAGAAAGAGUACUUGAGGAAAAGGCAUGCAAAAAUAAUGCCAUGAUGCGUAUAUGUAGUUUGCCACCUCCCUGAACACAAUUUAGCAAAAAUUGAAACGUGGAUGACUGAAUAAAUAAGCUAACUGACAAAAUUUGGGUUGAAUCAGAAGUUGCCAUGUUCUAAAAAUAUUUAUGUUGCCAUGUUUGCGCAAAAACAAAACAUGUCAAGUCUUAGUGCGUGAAUGGAGGUAAUUGCCAUCUGCUGAACAUGCACAGUAGGCGAAAAAUAACCACUGAAACAAGUGCAAAAACAUGGCAACUGAAAAAAGGUUUGCUUCAGAAAAGGGAGUUGCCAUCUAGCAGAUUGAAGUUGCCAUGUUGGCAGUAAACAAUAUGGCAACUGAGGUACCACAGUGGAACACCCAACUGCCGUUAUCCAACAUAUAAUGUGGCAACUGACACAUUGGCUUCAUAAAAAGGGAGUUGUCAUCUAGCAGAUUCAAAUUGCCAUGUUAGCAGAAAACAAAGUGGCAACUAAGGCAGCAUAGUGGAACAUCCAACUGCCAUUAUCCUACAUAGGACAUGGCAACUGACAUAGUUGAUUCAGAAAAUUAGUUGCCAUCUAGUAGGAUAGAUGUAGAUAAACAAGUGAAUUGAACUUGCCAGGACUGCCAUUAUCCCACACAUCGAAAUUUCAAGUUGCCAUGUUAGCAGAAAACAAAGUGGUAACUAAGGCAGUAUAGUGGAACACACAACUACCAUUGUACAACAAAAAAUGUGGCAACUCACACCUUGGAUUCAUGAAAAGGAGUUGUCAUCUAAUAGAUACAAGAUGCCAUGUUAGUAGUAAACGGAGUGGCAACUAAGGAAGUAUAUUGGAACACACAAACUGCCAUUAUCCUACAUAGGACAUGGCAACUGACAUGGUUGAUUCAGAAAAUUAGUUGCCAUCUAUUAGGAUAGAUAUAGAUAAACGAGUGCAUUGAAAUUGCCAUGGCUGCCAUUAUCCUACACAUCGAAAUGCACCUAACUAGAUCUAGGGUUCAAACCCAACUAUCAGUCCCUGAGUUCGACUACAACAUCGCCCAUAAAACAGUGAUAAUGACAGCUUACGAGACCAUCAAUACUAACAAAAACACAUUAGAAAUCGCUAUCACAUAGAAUUGCAGGAAUCUAAUCUCUCAUAAACAGGGAGAUAGUUGUCGAACGGGCGAGCCUCGCUGGCUUGACUACCACCGCAACAGCGACGAAACUACGCCAAUGCUGGCCUAAAUGGCACACACGCGACUCCACCGCCGACGGGACACUAGAGCACCGCGAAUCUGCCUGAAUCUCGAGAGGGCUCGGGAAGGAUGUGACCAGGGAGGAAGGGAGAGAGACUGGACCAGUAGAAAGCUUCGAGAGCCUUACCUACUCGUUGUGGCUGCUCCGGCAACGACGCUCCGGUCCGGUGAACACCAGCGACGACCGCGAAUACCCACUAUUCUUCCGCCGCCGCCGCCUCCCCCUCUCGACUGCACCUCCUAUCGAAUGAAACUGCUGUUGUGGGGGGUGGGAAGAAAUGAAGGAGGUGGGGGAGAAACUGCAGCGCCGUUGAGGGGAAAAUGGGAAGACGUGGGAGACGGUGAAUAGGAGUCGUGCGCGGCGUGCGAGCGCGACAGCAGUUCCACCGCACGUCCGACUCACAACCGCGACCACUCCGAGCGAGGAAUGGGCGUCCGGGCGAAUUGCUUAACUCCCACACACGCUCCCCUGCCUACGUGGCACACAAAAACUGCUAGAACGCGCCAAAAUUUGUGCAAUAUUGAUUGGACGAGGAUCCAUGCGUGUGGACGAGUUGCCAGACGCCCACACGUGUGGGUGUUAUCUUUUUUAUUGUUUAUUUCCCUCUGGUUUCUUAUGCUACAUGGAAGUAAAAUAUUUAUGUGUGGAAAUUGUUAUGUUUAAAUGUGCUAACACUUGGUCGUCAUAUGAUUUAUUGUUCCCAAAUAGGCCGUUAAGGAUAAUGUUAAUUUGUCCUCGGGUGCAUACUGGGUACCUGGCCAAGAAUCUAGUACCUAUCUCAACUAUGGGGCUGGUAUAAGUGAGCUACAAUAAAAUUCUGCUAAAUGUCAAUCACACUAGCAUAGUUAAAUAAUGACCGGAUGUUCUGCAUAUGGAUGAUAUUGUGAUACUUUUAUGAUUUCCUUUUUACUAAAAAUCCACGUAGAGAUUGAUCUUCUUAUAGGAAGCUAUUACAUUACUACAGAGCGACCUCCAGAAAAACGAGACGCGUCGAAACCCCUGGCUCCUCAGCGAUUUGGGCCUCUCGGCCGUCCGAUCGGUUCCCUUGAUGUGUUUUCGGCCAUCGGAUCAAGCCACCGGCAGAUCUCGUCCGUCAGAUCCAAUCCCGCCCCCCUUAGCACGUUUGACCCCGCCUGGCUCGCGCGUCAGUAACUCCUUCCGCCUGGCCGGAUCUCGCUGACCUGUGGGGUCCCGGCUGGAGGGCCCCGUCCGUCAGCGAGCGGGUGCGCGGGUGCGGCCGGUGCGGCCAGUACCGCGCGCGGGCGGUAAAUAUCCCGUGCCACCGCCGAAAUUCCCGUCCCCACCAAGGGCAUUUUAGUCAUUUCGCGUCUAGGUCAACACUUGCCGUUUUGCAAUUCGCUGCCUUCUCCCCCAAUGAGUGUAGGGUUCGAUCUGUCCUCACUCUCUUUCUUCCCCGCACGUCUCUCUCUCUCUCUCUCUCUGAGCCGCCACCGCCAGUCAUCCUCCUUGUCCGUCGCCGCCGCCAUCCAUCCGCAGCCGCGCCACCAUCCCCUCCCCGUUCCUCUUCCGCCGCGCCACCACCCCCUCCCACCUCCGCCGCGCCACCAUCCCCUCCCUGUUCCUCUCCUGCCACGCCACCAUCCCCUCCCCAUUCCUCUCCCGUGGCUGAGCCAGCCAUGGCCCGCCCUCCUCCUCCCGCAUCCCAUCUUCGUUGCCAGGCGCGCACUGCCGCCACCCUUCCUCCUUCCCUCCUACUGUCCUGAUCCACCAAGCUCAGGGUCGAGAGGCGCGCCAGAUCCAGGCGCGGCGGCUCGUUGGUGAGCGCGGUGGCGGCUAUUGAUGGGCUCGAGCUCUAGCAUGUGGGCGCGUUGGUGAGCGCGGCGGCGGCCGUGGGGGCAGCGGCGUGCUGUUGAGCACGACGGCGGCCAUGGCUGAGUGCGAGUGCCUCAUUCUUCGAUGGCUUCUGUUGUUGUCGUGGUUGAUUUGCUUGAUUACUUUCGGUUUGUCCAGGGUCUCACGUGGGAUUUCGUUGCAGGUUCUGAAGAGCCACCGGUUGUUCGGUUCGUCGAGGCUUCAACCGUCCUGCCGACUGCUGCUGCAUCGAGAGGUUGCAAGGCUUCUGGUCUGUGAGCUCUUUUUUUUCUUUCUAUCUAGCUAAUGUUUCUUAGAUUGGUUGUUAUGUGUUGGUUGUUAUGUGUGGCUUCAAUAGUUUCUUAGAUUUGUUGGCUGCUCAUAUCUGGAUAAUGUUUUUUUGGAUGCAUUAGUUGCUCGAGGCUGGAUAUGGUCGGAUUCCUUUGAUGGAUUGGUGGAUCUACUUGGAUCCUUGGUAUUUUUUGUUGUCAUAUGGGAGGCUCGGCCGCAUGUCUAGAUUCCUGCCAGUUUGUUUGUUCCUUUCUGAAUUUGUCUGCUGCUUAUGGGUUUGGCAUUGUCUGAUGUUGUUAGCUUGGUUUAAAAUAUUUUGCCACUCUCACUGUUGGUUUCGGUUAGUCCCUAGGAUUAGUUGUUGGGUUAUGUUAGGCUCAAAUGUAUGGCCAUUUGGAUUAGUAACUGAUUAUGUUAGGCUCAAAUGUAUGGCCAUUUGGAUUAGUUGCUGAUUAUGUUGGGCUCAAGCGUAUGGCCAUUUUGGAUUAGUAGCUGAUUAUGUUAGGCUCAAAUGUGAUGUGCGUUUAGGGUCAUUUUUAUUAGUACCUGACUUUUGUUCUUUGGCUUAAGGAGUAGUUGGAUGAAUCACAUGGUUGGCAUAUUGUAGGGGUUGUGGCUGUUGUGGAUGUGGUUCAGUGGAUUUAGGAAGCCAUUCUUAGGUGCUUGAUUGGAGCUUGUUAAGUAAAGGGGGUGAGAUGAUUGUGUUGAUUGAUUGAUUCAAGAUCUGCCUGGUCAUUUGUUUUUGGGAUCAUACAUCUCACACGUUGGUUUGAGGGAAUGGUGGGCCAUCAGGGGCUGGAUUUGUUUUUGUUUGAUUGGGGCUUGCAAAAGAGAGGUGCGGGGCAGGCUGUUGCUGUAUGAUAGGUUCCAAAAACUUAAUUGGUGAUUACUAAUACUAUAUUUGUUGUGGUGUAAAAAAUUGUGAUAUGGCCUAUUUCGACUUGAUUCAGAGGAUCUCAUGUGAAAGCAUGACUUGUGUGCAUCUUUAUAUAUGUCCGGGACGUCGCGGCUAGACUCAGUAGAGACAUGUUUAAUACUAGAUCCAAGACGUAUUAAUUGAACACGUUCUGACAAUCAUACAAACCAAAGCCUUGAGAUAGUACUUUAUUUCUAUGGUGUCUUUCUCAUAGUUUAUAGCAACAUUUGGUGUGUCGUAUAUAAUAUGUCUAUGAUAAUUGAGGUGCCAUCUUGAUUCUUGGAUUGCUUUGUUCUUAGGUAUGUUGGUUAGCAUCACUACUACUUUCAGAAUUCAAGGUGCAUGAUGGAUGCAAGGUUUUUUUUGCUCUGUUUUUUAUUAUAAAUAAUGGGGUUACUAAUAGUAUUCUUAGGUAUGUAACUUACUAUGACUACCUUGCUACUUGAAUAUUCACUAUGUAUUAGAUGUGAGUGAUAUAUGGUCACAUUCUUGCAUCUGAUCACGCCCUUUAUUAUUCUAUCUUUCAUGUUUUUAUCCCUGACUUUGUUUGGGUACACCUCAGCCUGCUCACUCGUCUUUCUGUUGUUGUCUUCCUGAUCCAGAUUAUGCCCAGAUCUCUGCUGCCAUCGACGCUCCAUCGACGCUCCAUCUCCGGAGUCAUCCUGGUAUUUUACUUUGCAUGCUUCUUUUCUAUGGCUCUGUCCGUUUAUGAUGUUUUCUUCUUGGAUUAAUGCUAAUCAUGUUAUGCACUUUUGCAUAUCUAGCUCCUAAUGGGAGCCACAUUGUAUUCCCCUUCCAGUGUCGUGAAUGCUCAUGGUUGUAGAUUGACAUUACUGAAGCAAGGACCUGUGUAAAUAAAUGUUACAGGUGACCACAUGUGGGUAGGAUUGUUGGUUAGGAAUUACAUAGCCUUGGUACCCCAGACCAAUAUAUUCAUUUAAUUGUUUUAAAUUUGGAUACACCAAGCAAAAUUAUAUAUGCUAGCUCAGUUGUGUAUAAUUUUUUAUAGUAGUCAGAUCCAACCUUUGUAUUUGCUUUGCUUGUUGUACUUUGGUUAGAAGCAAAUAAUGUGAUGUUGUUCUGUUGUGAUAUCCACACUGUCAAUAUCAAAGUGUACAGGUCUAUUCCUUUUUUUUUAUCAUUUUCACUUAAUUUUCCUUGUCCAGUUCAUUUUUGAAACUGAGUAUUGUAUGAGGUCCUACACGCUUCCAGCUUGCUGUAUUUGCUAAACACAUACUGCAAUGGUGGGUGAUUAGUUUAGUUUCAUAUUUAGACAAGAUAGUCUUUCUGUAUGUCAAGUAAAAUCAUGGAAAAAUUACUAAUGGGGAAGAUUGUUGUGUUUUAGGAGCAAAUGAUCAUGCCUUAAGAAUAUGCAUUUGUAGUUGUUUGAUUCUAUCAUGCUUGCUUCUCUUUUUCUACUCAGUUACACCAGGCAGAUCAAAUGAUUUUUGCCUUUGCCUUGAGUUUUAAUCGUUCUGUCGCUACCCAGCCGUUGUUAUGUUCGUUUCUCCAACCCAUGGUUGAUAACUAAGAUUUCGAAAGCAAUGGAAGAUAUAGGAGGACGUAGGGCUCCGAUAAGGGCUCCGAUGGCUCCUGCACGGCGUGAUGCCGGUUAAGGUGAUCUUGUGGUACAUCUGUUCUUCCUAUCUCCUAGGUUCAUCGUGCCUCCAUUGAUUUUGAUUUUGCCUUCAAUUCUGAUGCAGGGUAGUUGCCCAUGGUGUUCCUGCGACUGCUAUGUAGGCGGAUCUGGAGGUUGAACCUCUUUCCUCUCUGUUCGUUUGGUACAGCAGCUUGUUCUAUGUGACCACGACAGCGAUGGAGCUCUCAGUGAUGUGGAGCUCAAUGACUUUCAGGUUUGUAUUCACUGAGGCCACCAUUCUUCCUUUAUCUUAACAUGAGGCUGACUAGAGUUUUUUAUUGACAUUCUUCUAUGUAUGGUGAUACUAAAAUUCUCAUUCCAUUGGUUUGCAGGUCAGAUGUUUUAGCGCUCCUCUCCAGCCUACUGAAAUAUCAGGCGUGAAGAGAGUUGUUCAAGAGAAGAUGCCCGAAGGCGUAAAUGAUAGUUGCCUUACAUUGACUGGGUUCCUUUUCCUUCAUGCUCGGUUAUGAUAAUGAAAUCAUGCUUAGAGAUGAAUUCAUUCCAACGUCAGUCAAGCGAGCUCCUGAUCAAGUAAUGUUCUCUUGAUUACUAUCAGCUAUUCACAUUUUGUUGUCAGUUGAAGCUAGACCAAUUUUUAAGUGCACAUAUAUUUUUGCGUCAAGUUGUUCUUAUAAGGGAUUACGUGUAAGUUGAUAGUUGAUUUCAACUGUAUGGUGGGUAUAUGCAAUCCUGGCUUCAAUAUUCAUUUAUCUAUGUGUUUAAUAUUUGCCAUACCUUUGGUUUAUAAUAUUUCUUUGGUACUAAAGUCAUAUCACUAUCUUUGUUACAGAUGGUGGAAUUGACAAAUGAAGUGAUUGAUUACUUGAAAGGAAUAUUCAACAUGUUUGACAUAGAUAAUGUAAGUCUGAUGUAUUGUUUGUCACAUUUGUUUUUUAUCCUCAAUGUAAAUGUUAUUCUUGCCAUUUUCAUUCUAAAUCUUAUCCCUAAAAAACUUCUGUGUUGGAGGAAGGUCUUAAAUGCGUUUGUGACGUAGUCGUUGGUGGUGGAUUAGCAUAACCAUGUCCCUGGGAUUUAAAUUUUGGAUUAACAUUCUUCAGUGCCUAAUAAUUUCAGAACCAUUGUGGCGUUGUUGCUUGAUCCAGUUGAAGUUUUAAAUCAAUGGUCAUACUUGCAAAUAAUUUAGUUGUUGAUAAAAAUAGCACUGUAGUGAUCCUCUGGCUAUCUGAGUAUUAAACUUGAUACAUGAACUAAGUCAACUCAAAGUAGCACCUUAAUACUUGACAUGGCUGUCUGAUUUAGUCUCGCAUUGAUACUUUACUCUCCUGAAGUAUGACUCGACGCUACACAUAUUAUUUCUGCUUAAUGAUAGUGGGGAAAAAUAAUUUCUAGAGUACUAGACAGAAGUGGACUCUAUGACUGAUCCGCCAAAGAGCGGACCUGUUACUCGUGUCCAAUGCAUUUUACCAGCCGCCACGAUCGUGUUCUUUUGAAGGUAGGCCCACUUCUUCAAGCCUACUUAUUAUUUUUGUUGUUGCUAAUCUGCUUUCUUAUGGACACCUCUACCAGAUCCGCCGCCACUGCGAAGCCCAGCUCCUGAGUGCUUUAAAGGUGAGCAAGAAAGAAGAACAGGGGUGUGGUGCUUUGGUACUGAUAUUGCUUUGCAUCUGCGCUGACUAGAAAAUGUGNNNNNNNNNNNNNNNNNNNNNNNNNNNNNNNNNNNNNNNNNNNNNNNNNNNNNNNNNNNNNNNNNNNNNNNNNNNNNNNNNNNNNNNNNNNNNNNNNNNNNNNNNNNNNNNNNNNNNNNNNNNNNNNNNNNNNNNNNNNNNNNNNNNNNNNNNNNNNNNNNNNNNNNNNNNNNNNNNNNNNNNNNNNNNNNNNNNNNNNNNNNNNNNNNNNNNNNNNNNNNNNNNNNNNNNNNNNNNNNNNNNNNNNNNNNNNNNNNNNNNNNNNNNNNNNNNNNNNNNNNNNNNNNNNNNNNNNNNNNNNNNNNNNNNNNNNNNNNNNNNNNNNNNNNNNNNNNNNNNNNNNNNNNNNNNNNNNNNNNNNNNNNNNNNNUGGUUCAUGAUGAAUUCGCUCUGUAGAUGUACCAUUACUCAUAUUUCUAGCCUCUUGCAAGUCAUCAUUUUGUUAAUCACGGUUUUUUAUGAAAACUGAAACCUAUCACUUUCGGUCCAUAUGAAGCAAAAGAAAGUCUUGCAGUAUGUUGCAAUUAUAUUGUGAUGAUUGGCAGGGAAUAACUUAAGUCUUUGAAAUUUGGUACAUGUUGUCGUGCAUCGAUUCAGCCCCAUUGUGCCAUCAGAAUGACUUGGAUUUACAAUUUGUAAGCAGAACUCAUGCUUCUUACUACCCCUUCCAGCUCUAAAAUACAUAUAUGUUUUUUUUUCUUAUUUUGUACCGCUAAACUAUGUGUGCUAAACAAAGCAUGUCGUAUUAUUUUCAGAUAAAUGAUGAUGUAGUUAUGCGCGCCAUCCAAACAAUACACACGUGGUUCCCAAAUUGGAGCAUAUAUUUCCGUGAAGAUCUUGAAGUAUGGUCUUUGCUUUCUCUUCUCACAUCUGCCAUUUAGAAUUUAUUUCCCUAUUUCUAUCACAUAUGCACUGCUUUACCAAGAUCCCACUUUGAUUAACGUCGUUCUAUUAUACUGGAUGUUUAUUCGCCUGUCACAAUGGCAUAUCCAUGUUGUUUAUAUUGUUUGGUUUGUAUUUCAUGCACGGAGUGACUUGGUUGUUUGCCGCCGUCUCCACUUGGUUUCCUCCAUGUUUCGAUCUGGUACCUCCACUCCUCACCACCUUGCUUGCCGUGCGAGCGUGUGGGUGUGUGUAUAAGUGCAACGCUUGGUUUGGUCAGUCGCUGAUUCCUCCGAACAAUUGGACUAUUGGGUGCUCAAAGACUUUAGGGGGUAGGACGGAUCCAACAAUGCAAGGAAUCGAUCAGUGGAAGUGUGGCACUCCUCAGAGCUCAGGCCUUCCUGGCCGUUGGAUCAGUUUGUUGAUGCGUUCUCAGCCGUGCAAUCUUGCCUUCGGAUGACUUUGGUCGUCGGAUCAAAUCCGAUUACUGCUACAAUGAGUAGUGAUGGAGACAUAGAACCUGUCAUCAUUUUGUCGGACUAAUUAUGGAGUUACUUGUGCAAGUUACACCAUCAGCAAACACAUGAAGACCUGAAUGCUAUCAUUGCAAGUUGAACAUUUACAUGCUCCAAGUCAAUCUGUUAGGGAGAAAACAAAGGCGUGUGUGCCUAUUAGUAAUUUUUUGUUUUAUCAUAGUGGGCACCUUAUCUGUCUGUAACAUGUGCCCUGUGCAACUGCAAAAGUGUUGGACAAUAAAAAUUCUGUGUAACACAUGUUCCUAUACACUCUACCUACGGUUAGUAUAGAAACUAUGCAUAGUUGUUACUCUUUUGGUGGCCUUGUGUAAUAUAUAUGGCAAAUAAAUUAUCAUGAACUAUUGAGCCUUUCACUUUUUCUGUAACAUACUGAACCUUUGCACUAUUGCUUUCAUCGUAUAAUCGUAUGAGAUAUAAAAUGUUUCAUAUCAGGUUGGAUAUAGCUGAGGCGGGUGGGGUGUGGCAAGCCGCACUUCCUAUCUAGUUAUGUAUGACUGUGGAAUGAGUUUGAACCCUGCAAUGGACUUGGGCCAGGUUUGAGAUAUUUUCCACUGAGCUAUGCUCUUCUUUUAUCAUUCGACAGUUAACAUGGAUAUUUAUAUUGCAGCCCUGAUCAGAGUUGUUGUUCAUUAUAGUAAACGGCGGAAUCAUAUAUUCAUUAUUCAUAUCUGAUCUCUAUCAUCAUCUGACAGAUUGAAUGCUCCUUUAUACAAGGAAUUGGCUUCUUCAUAAACAAAGAACACGGAACGAAACAAACACUGAUGGAAUGGUUGUGAGCGAUAGCACAUGGGUAUACAAGAUCCCGAGCAUCGACACCGUCCCAAAGCAGUUCAAUGCCGAGGUGCUCAACACCGGAUACCACAAGAACCGCGUGCUCUCGUCGAAAGGUAGAGAGUGUGAUCUCUUUCCCUGGAGCAACAACAUGAAUAUAUUUCACUUGUUUGCAUGAAAAAUAUCAUUAGUUAUUAAGGUAAUCAAACCACGUUUGCCUCUGUCAGCUUCGGGGGAACCUGCCUUGGUUCUCGCAUCAUUCGUCCAUUGCGUGGUGAGAGAAGCCAUCCGAGCAGUGAGGAAGGAGUUUGGAACGCUCGUGAAAGAAAUGUGUCGUUGCAUGAUGCAAGAUUCUGGUGGUAUCAACCAGAAGGAGCGGUGUGGCGUUCUCAUGUUGCGCAGCAUCGAAUGGCAAAUCAUAGACGUGAUGUUUGAAUGUUUGUAAUGUCCAGUGUUGUGCUUGCACACUUUUCUAAUAACUAAAAACAAAGCUUGUGAUUUAUAUGUCCAUAAUAAUGUGAUUUUGUAAAUAAAUGUUUAUUAAAUUCUGCCAUGGAUUACCUUAUAAUUUUGAUCAGAAGUUUGGUAAUUAAAUUAAAGUGGAAUUGGUUAAGAAGGUAAUUAAAUUAAUUUGAUUGAUUAUCAUACAUAGGGGUAGUGGGAAGAAAUGUAAAAUGAGAACCUUACAUUCUUUUUAAGUAGUAUAGAGAAGAGAAGAUAGAGAUAGAGAUAAUUCCAGGUUGAGAUUUGUGUUUGUAAGUCCUGACUGAACCUAAAGGCGGUGCCAGCUCCCAUGCUAGCUGCUCGCAUGCCACUUGGAAUGACUCGCUCAAUCUAACACUUUCCCUUUGGCUCCCCUUCCCCCUCCCUCGCCGCCGGUCCUCGGCCCCUUGCCCUCCCUCUCCCCUCGCCGCCGCAGGGCAAAGGAAGAACACUGAAGUUGAAAUCAGUAAAGAAGUAAAGAGUACUUCUCAACAAAAAAAAAGUAAAGAGUGCCCAAAAGGGUACAAACUGAUAACUAGAUAAAGAGUACAGUGGCAAAAUGAAAUUAUCAAAGGUCAAAUAGCAAAUGAAACAAGCAAACAAAGUACCAAAUAAGAUAAGAAUUAUCACAGCCAUUCAAGACAAAGGAAGAACAGAAAAAGAAUGAACAGAAGACAAGAAAAAGAUCAGUUCAAAUUUCAGAUGUUGAAGGUCAUUUUUAUUCAAGUAUAUCCAUUGGGCGACAGGCGCAGAGUUGGCCUGUUUAUAAAAAGUUACUCCCUCCAUCCCACAAUAUAAGAUCGUUUCUCGAAAAACGAUUUUACAUUGUGGGACUGGGGGUAUUAAUGGUACUUCUGCAAAACAUGAGAUCAUAAGAGGUAUAUGCUGGCAUAUGACAAUAUGGUUGUUCUCCACAUAUUUUGGCUUCUAAAAGCAUUAAAAAGGUCAUCGACAAAAGGCUAACCAUCCAAAUUGUAAUCUUUGAGGCCAGUUAGCAGCUGCUGUGCUGUGCCAAAACAGUAGAAAAGAUAUUGAUAACUUCCGACUUCAAUGUGCAUCACUGCCAAAAGAACCAGUAAAAAUUUAAUGGUGUAGUAAAGGAGGACAUGCACAGACAGGAAAAGAGGGCAUGUUUGGAACACAGAAAUGGGAAAAUUUUGCUGCAGAUCAUGUUUCACACAUUUAAAAGGGAGUGAACACAUUCAACCACUACCAGUAGUAGGACCAGAGACCACCAGAGUGAGACGAGCUUAAGCAAAAGCCCGAAUGCACCGAAUUGGCACCCUCCAUGGACCACAAAAUCAUGAGAAGGCAAACUGAACACCACAUGAGGUGAUUUGUGCGUAGCUGCUCUUAAUGAGAUAGGCGAAUGCCAAACUACGACAAUUUAUCAAACUAAACAUAAGAAGGCGACAGGAAUAAAUCAACAAGGAGCCAUAUCAAUAUUCCGUGAGAAUGAAAAGAUCCCAAAGGAGGGGAGAGCACAUUUUUAUACCCUCAGCUCCUCGGUUUAUGUCAGCCAUGUUUGAUCACCAAAGCCCAAGCCAGCCAGCCAGCCAGAUAGAUGAUGCAAAGGGGUACCGAUUCCCACCCCAAACCACCAACCCCUGCUGUUUCAGCCAGAACCCUUCCUCAUUGCUGGGGCUUGGAAUGGCAAGCAUCGAAGGUUAAAGUUAACAAGGACAACACUAUCAAAUGUCAAUACAAGAAAAAAUGAUAAUGGAGGCAAAAAUAGGAACAAAAAAACUGAACAAUAGCAACAAUAAGAAACUGCUUUUAAAUUGGUUCAAUGAAAAUAUUUCACGCCAUCUUACCUUCGAGAAGGUCCACAAAAAGAACCAGAGCCAUAGGUAACGCCAGGUUCACUUUUCAAGCUACAGGCCCACAAUGUACAGAAGAGUACAUACGACUUAAUUUUCAACAUGAGAAAAACACACAAAAGCUGUUCAGGAAAAUCAAGCUGUUUUUUAGAAUACUCACUGAUCCAAUUACUAUAAUAAUCUGACAAAAGAAGUAUAAAACACAGGUAUCAUAACAAACACAUGGCGCACAAGGAAUAGUUCACAAAAUCAAGGAAAAUUUUGGAGUAUUGUUUGAAUGGCUCAGAUUUACCCCACCAUGAAUCACCGAAGUUGGAAAAUGCUUGAGAUAGUAAAACAACAACAAAGCCUUUCAGUCCCAAACAAGUUGGGAUAGGCUAGAUCUGAAACCCAUAAGAUACUGAAACCUACUCAUGGUUCUGGCACAUGGAGAACUUCCAUGCACCUCUGUCCAUGGCUAGUUCUUUGGUGAUAUUCCAGCAAAAAAAAACCUCUCCCUCUUUCUUCACCCAGCAACAAAUAGCCACAACUGGUAACAUGCUGCAGAGCAAGGCCUCCUAGUUUAACGACUAAUUGUCUAGCUGAGUAGAGUUGAACGGAACCAACCUAGGAGAUGUAAAAACAUCUCCAUCUCAGGAUAUGGUGAAAGAUCUCCAGCACCACAAGGGGCACAAAAAUCAUCAUAGCCAUACAGUAAAGAAUAGAACGCAUCAACACACAAUGGAAACAAAUAUGCUGUGUCCAGAAGUUAAUUCGGACUGAUGGUCGCAUUACUGCAAUGAAAGAAGUAACUGACAUUUCUUCACUUCGGACAAAAGGAGUCACUGCAGGCCAAAUAAAAACAGGAUAACAUAAAUUUUCGUGUUUGAACCAGAAGAAAAACAUAAACUUGCCAACCAGGUUAUCACAGCACAGCAUCAACCAAAUGGGAUCCUUUACCCCAAACAGAAAAGGGGAGGUGCCGCUCGCUUGUUUAUCCCAUGAAAAAUGGGGUUCCAAUGCUAAAUAAUCAGGUAUGUGACAUUGGACAGUGGCAUACUAUUCCACCAUGAAACCAAACACAUAUCAGUCCAACCUUUGGCAAAACGAAAACAAAACCAAAGAACACUGAAUAAAUUUGAAAAUAUAUAAGAUACAGAGAAGGGAGACAAUGGCUAAUAUACAGAUCCCAGGUGACCCAAGCAAAAGCACCAAGAGCACCUUCAAUCAUGAUUAGACAAAAUAUAAAAUCUUUUUAAACAAACGAAUGCAAUUGACUGGACACUCAUUUUAAACAACCUGCGAGGAAUCAGUUCCUCGCUAAUGAAUCAAAAUGUGGCAAGUUGACAGCAGCAGCUUAAAAAGAGACUAAUGACCAGCAAAAUAAAUACUACCGUGGUUGUUGCCAACGGGGAUCCCCCAUUCCGAAAGGUAACGGGACCAGCCCUUAGGUCCAAAGUUGUAUGCCACUGCUGUGGUGCUGAUAGAUUCACUACUGAAGCCCCGUUAUCGGACAUUGCAGGCUUAGCAUCUAUUUUUCGUAUAUCGCUCCACCACACCGAGAAGUCUGCUCUGACCAAAAUAAAACUAACGCAGUAUGAGCUUCAGUUCUAAGAAAACGCAGUUAUUGCUGAUCAUAACUUUGUCUUUGAAGAAGCAUCUGGCAGGACAAGACAAGCAAAACAACAGCUUCUCGUUAACCACAUGAAUAGAACAGCCAAUAGCUAAAAACAUUGGAGAAAAAAGGACAAUCCUGUGAUACACAAUCCCUCCGUCCCAUAAUAUAAGAGCGUUUUUUACACUAUAUGUAUUCCCUCCAUAUAUUCAAUGAGAGCUCAGGUGGAGAGGGAUUCAGAAUUAAGGCAGCAGAUUAGGGUGUAAUUGCAUGCGUACCGAUUCAAGCCAAAAAGCGGAACUGUAUCGUGAAAAAUCCAUCGCGGCAGCUCAGAUCUCAGGCCUCCUUUGGUUCAUAGGAUAGGAAUAUCAUAGGAAUAGGAGCCAUAUGAGUUUUCCCAUAGGAAUCAUAUCCUAUAUAAUUCCUACGAAAUUCCUGUAAACCAAAGGAGGCCUCACUGUGGACAGCCGACUUCCCAGGCAUGAGAGGCCACACAGGGUCCCAAUCUUCCACGAUGCCCAACCCAAAACCGCCAGCCCCUGCCGUUUCAGCUGCGGCAACUGCCCGAGGAGGGUCCCAAGCCAAUGCAUCAGUGCAGUGGGCCUGAACAGGAGGGGUGGCCCCAUGAACCAAAGCUCCAAGGCCACCACCAGGGCUAGGGAUGAUGUCUGGGAAGUUUUGUAAGGACAAUGAUGGCAAGCAUCAAUAAUGGUAGUUAAGGAGGACUAUUAUACCAAUGUCAACACAAGGAAAAGUAAUAAUUGGAUGGUAAAAAGAGGGGGGAGGGGGGGUGUUAACAGUAGCAUUAAAAAACUGCUUAAAAUUGGUUCACUAUAAAAAGACUUCACAUCCUCUCACCUUCCCUGAAGGCCAGAAGGUCCACAGACAGAAGGAACCAGAGCCAUAGAUAGGCGGGUUCACUUUUCAAGCUACAGCCCGGAGUGUAGAGUAUAAACGACUUAAUUUUCACCAUGGGAUCAUGACCAUUCACGAUUGCCAACAAGAUAUAGUUUAAAAAAGGCUGUUUAGGAAACCAAGCUGUUUUCUGGAGUAUAUUUCAGAAGUACCCAAUCCUAAAAUUUCUAUAAUCAGGCAGAAGUACAAGUGCGAAGUGUUAGACUCACGUACCAUAACAAAUACAUGAGGAAUCCUCUACUUCUCAAUAGCUACAACCCACUAGCUAAUUUUUAAUAACAUGCAGCCAUGCCACAACAGCACGUAUGGAUGUCAAUCACAAAUCAUAACUUACAUUUAUUUACAUCCAAUUCACGAUCUAAUUUUUCUAAGCAUGCAACCAUGCCACCUAAGGACCUAUGCAUGUCAAUUAUAAGUUGCACCUUUUUGCAUUAAUUUAAAAAUGAAACCGCGCCAUAUUACCAAGCGAUACAUGUCGAUGGCGUUGAUAAGUUAUAUUUUUUGAAUUGUAACAUGUCGACGUCGUUGAUAGGUUACAUUUGUUUAAUUGACUUUUAUAUUGUCAUAUACAGCAUACAUGGUGGAUACUUGAAGCCUAUCUACGUAGUUCAUGAUUUGCACUUUUUAUAGAAACAAAAUGGCAUGUUGCUACAAUGUAAGUCAAGAAUAUUAUUAUUAUCUUGCAUCAGUUUAGUUGUUUUCUAGCACCUAUUAAUACAAUUAUUUUAACGAGGUUCCCACGGCAACACACGGGGGCCAGGGCAUCAUCUAGUAGUUCACAAAAUCCGGGAAAUUUUUGGGGAGUACUACUUGAAUGAAUGGCUCAGAUUUACCUGCCCAUGAAUCACCUUAGUUGGACAAUGCUUCAGGUAGUACCAUAAGGAAUAAAACCUCUCUCUCCACUCAGCAACAAAUAGCCACAACUGGUAACUUGCUGUAGAGCAAGGCCUCCUAGUUUAAUGAUUAACUGUCUAACUGGGCAAAGUUGAAUGGAACCAACCUAGAGACGUGAAAGUGUCUCUAUCUCAGGAUAUGUUGAACGACACCAUGGGGCGGAAAUCAUCAUAGCCAUUCAGAAAAAGAAUAAUUAACAACAACACACAACAGAAACAAAUAUGCUGUGUUCAGAAGUUAAUAUGGAAUACUGCACUGAUGGCCGUAUUACCGGCAAUGAAAGAAGCAAUUGCCAUUUGUUCACUUCAGAUAAAACGAGUGACUGCAAGCCAAAAUAAAAACAGGAGAACAUGAACUUUCUUUUUUGCAACAGAAGAAAGCCAUCAACAGGGUUAGUGCUGCAGGUUACAGUGAACAUAAUGUAAACGAGAAAUAGAAUUGUAGAUUCAGAAUUUAAAAAAAUAUAAUUAAUAAAUUAAUAGAUCAAAUGUAAUUAUUACAAUUGCUGAUGCUUGCGGUGCCGUAGUGCAGCAAAUACAUGAAUGUAAGACCUUCCGCAAAAUAAAAUGCGGUUACGACUAAAUGGGAAUGCUGAGACAAAAAACAGAACAUGCAUAACAAAGGACAUACAGUUGCAAAUAAUAGCAUAGUUUGAUGAAAAGAUGUGAAAUCCUGUUCCUCUUUCUAGGCCCUUCACAACACAAUUUUUUUAUUUAUUCAAACAAAGUAGUCCUUAAUGAUGCAUCUUUAUUUCAAAGCAUUCUGCUGUAAGCAACCAAACUGUUAAGUGGAUUCUUAAUUCCAUGUAAUCUCUCUCCACACUGUUAAGUGGAUUCUUAAUUCCAAUGUUUAACAGUAAUUGUUAGCCGCUAAACCGGUUACUUGUUGUGACACAAGGACUCCUAGAGUCUUAGUUUAGCAUCUACUGAACCAAUUCAGGUAUUAGAUAGAAGCACCCACAUGGAAGCUAUAUCAUCGCAGCCAUUCAUGAACAUGACAUGAAGGAAACAGUAAUCUUGACAUCUGAACUUGCCCUAUAUGACCCUUAAGAUGAAAACCAGUAAAUAAAUGAGGAGUGCCCAAAAGUACAAACUGAUAACUAGAUAAAGAGAACAGUAGCAAAAUGAAAUUAUCAAAAGUCAAAUAGCAAUUGAAACAACCAAACUGAUACAGUACCAAAUAAGAUAAUUUCAAAAAAUACCCAAGGGCAGCAUUAUUAUCACAGCCAUUCAAGGAAAAAUAAUAACAGAAAAGAAAAGGCCCGGAUGCACCAAACUGGUUCCCUCAAUGGACAACAAAAUCAUGGCAAGGCAAACCGAACACCACGAGAGGUGAUUUGUGCGUAGUUGCUCCUAAUGAGAUGGCCCAAUGCUACAACCACGACAAUUCAUCAAUUUAAAACAUAAAAAUGCAAUAGGGAUAAAUAGAUGUGUAGAGGGCACAGUAUUAGUUGCAUUGAGAUUUGAGAGGGCUCAGAUUCGCCUUUGAUAGAUCAUACAACCUGGCUCCAUCUUCUUUCACCAGAUCAACCCCCACCACUGAGGUCGAGCUCCUCUGGUUAUCACUCAGCAGAAUGACCAUCCAAGACAGAGCCGUCAAUAUUCGGUGAGAAUGAUAAGGUGCCAAAAGAGGGGAGAGUAGGUUUUUGAAGCCCACAGCUCCUCGAAUAAUCGAAGACAAGUUUAUGUCAGCCAUGUUUUAUCAUCAUCGCCUCAAAUAGAUAGACAGAUAGAUGGAUGGAUGGGUCGAUGGAUAGAUGGAUGGAUCGAUGGAUACAGGGGGUUAGAUUGUACUGAAGUUUCGGACAUGGUUCAUUUGUGCGAACCUUUACAAAAAGGUCAAAACAGUGAUUUCGGCAGCAACAUGACCAUAGUAUCCAUACAUCCAUACAUACAUGCAUCCAUACAAACAUGCAUGCAUGCCAGAAGUUGGCUGUACUAUUAACCAUGCUCUCAGGAGUUGCUCAUGUCUGGCAUCAGCCGACCAGAGUACCAGACCUCCGGCUCGGACGACGCAUCAGACAACACUGUAUGGUUCCCAGCCCACGCCACAACCGAAUCCAAGGCAAUGGAAUGGCGGUGGCUGACGGCACCAUAGCGUUAGUCCACCCGGACCAUGGGUCAGCAAGUAGGCAAUGACAGCUUGACUGAUUUGUUGUAGGAUAUAUAUAUAUAUAUAUAUAUAUAUAUAUAUAUAUAUAUAUAUAUAUAUAGAGAGAGAGAGAGAGAGAGAGAGAGAGGAGGAGGAGGAUUCACACCGAAUCCAAAACAAAAUGCAACUGAACAGUGAAAAUUCAGUGUAUGUAGCGUAGCAAAAGAGGGCUCAGCUUUGUCAUUCAUCUUCAAACCCAACACCCACAUCUCUUGCUGCAUGAUCUACCCAUCGCAGUGUAAGAGAACUGCCCUGGUUGUCACUCAUCAGAACGACCGUCCAAGGGACAGAUCAUCCAACAUCGGCGAAAAAUUGAGCAGGCUGCAACAGAGGCAAGGGUGGUGACACCGACUUUUUCAGCUCAGUUUAGUCCCACAAACAAAGGCUGUCUCGAUUGCUCAAGACAUCAUUAUUUCAGCCACAGUCAUCAUCAUCGUCGUCGUCGUCGUCAUCGCCCCUCUUUUUGGUCCAAAAAUGAGGUUGCCUCGGCACACCAAGCAACAUGACCAUGAUACUCCAUUACAUGUGUGCACACAUCCAGCCAUCAAGCUCAGGAGCUGCUCAUACCUGGAGUCGACCGACCAAACCCCCCGUGCGGACGGCUCGUCAGACAAACACCGUACGGUUCCCAGCCCACGCCACAGCCAAAUCCAAGGCAAUGGAACGGCGGUGGCUGGCAGCACCGCAGGGGUGCGAAACUGACGUGGCGGCCAACCGGAUGAUUGGCCGGCGAUCCGGCAACGAGAGCUCGCCUGAUUCGGUUUAGGGUUAGUUUUGUCUUCCAUCUUCAAGCCCAACCCCCACAUUUCUUGCUGCAUAAUCUACCCAUCACGAUGCAAGAGAACUGCCAUGGUUAUCACUCAACAGAAUGACCGCCCGAGGCACAAAGCAUCCAACAUCAGCGAUGAAUUAGACAGGCUGCAAGAGAGGCAAGGGUGGGCUCCAAGGCCAACUCCAACGCAGACACCGAUAUUUUUUUCAGCUCUGUUUAGUACCACCACACCACAGCUGCCUUGAUUGCUCAAGACAUGGUUAUUUCAGCCAUCGUCGUCGUCGUCAUCAUCAUCAUUGCCCCUCUUUUUUUCUCAACCCACCUCCGGGCUCUACACAGCAAGCAACAUGACCAUGAUAUCCAUACAUUCAUACUCCCUCCGUUCAAAAAUAGGAGUCGUGGUUUUAGUUCACGACACAUGAACGCAUCCAUCCUUCCAUCCAUCCAUCCUGCUCAGGAGCUGCUCAUGCCUGGCCUCGACUGACCAAACCCCCCGCUUGAACGACGCAUCAGACAACAGAGUACGGCUCCAGCCCACGCCACAACCGAAUCCAAGGCAAGGGAACGGCAAUGGCUAGCGGCGCCGUAGCGGUGUGGAACUGACGCAGCGGCCACCAGGACGACGGGUCAGCGAUCCGGCAACGAGAGCUCGCCUGAUCCGGUUUCGGGUUAGGGUUCACUGGUGUGGACUCUGCGCGCGCGAGCACACAGAGAGUGAGCGAGUGUGUGAGAAUCUGAGUGAGAGAGAGAGACGGGGACAGUACCGAAUCGAAAGCGAAACGCAGCCAAGCUGCGAGAAAUCCAUGGACGGCGGCUCAGAUCCCGCACCGGCCCGACCAAUCCCUCGACCGGAACGCCUCACGGGCCCCGCCGCUCGGUCCCCACUCCCCAGCCCGCGCCGCGGAGGCCUCCCGCACCGGCGGCAGCCCCGAGGGGCCUCCAAGCCGAUGCGCGAUCCGCCGCGGCGGGAGGGGCUGGCCCCGAGGAGCGGCGACCCGGCGCGUCCGCAGGUCGGGAGCCUGGCCGGCGCCGGCGGCUCCAUCCAUCAUCGCCGCCGUUUGGGCAGGGACGGGCCCCGGCCGACGCGGUCAUCGGCCACGGCAUGCGAGACGGGCGCGGCGGCGGGAUUCGCU